rnacentral:lncRNA from 1 species
CAUCCAAACCAACUAUGGUCCUCUUAAUUAUCAUAUCCUGCUCUCUGGGGUCCUUUUAAUUAUAAUAUAUGCUCUCACAACGUGUUGAAAAAAGAAAAAAAAGAAAAAGAAAGGGAGAGACAUGAAGGAAAUAUUCCCAGAAAAAUGUCAAAAGAGAGGUAGAAAACUAUCCCAAGCACCCAAGCAAGAAAAAUACGUACGGGCUAUUUUAUUUUCUCACCAUGUUGAAAAGUUUUAAAAAUAGAAGGGAAAGUUAAGGUUUUGGGCUGGUGAUGUGAAAAAUAUAUGAUUUUAAAAACACAAGUAUAUAAAAUAUGAGAUUCAAUAUGAGAUUCAAUUAUUAAUAGGUAAAAUAAUAUCCAAAAUGUGCACUAUCUCCUAUUUACUUUUCUUCUUCCUGUAUUACCCCUAAAUUUCUCUGUGUCAUGAGCAAAUUUUCCCCAUGUCAGCAGAACAAUUUCAAACUUUGAACUCAUUCUCAAAGUUGAAACAUAAAGAAACCCAAACUGAGAACCAAAAGUAGGGAAUCUUUCUUCUGGUCAUUUUGCCCUAACCCCCAUAUCAGGAAAUUCCCAAUUUCUAAAUUUCUCGUCUUCUUCCCACAAGCCCCUUGUUGAAUUUGCUUGCUACCUUUUCAUGUCGCGACAUUUCGGCCGAAAAUAUCGAAAGCAAGACAACCCUUUCCUUUGGAACGUGAUUAUCAAAUCUUUCUCAUAUUUCAGAUACGUGGGUUUUCAAAACCAUAUAUGUUCCAGCCUAUAAAUACAACUUUUCCUUUUUAAUACGCUUGCUUCACUUGCUCCAAUUUUAAAGUGCCCAAAAAAAAUUUCACUUGCGUAAUUUCCUCAUGAAAAUGUCUUCCAUCGGAACUUCAAAGGGAAUCCUGGAAAUCGGAAAGUUCGCUCUCUAUGUCUCAAUCCCGAUUGGUCUGAUGUAUACUUUGGCAAACAAUUCCGAGAAUAUGAAGAAGCUCAUCCAGAAGGUUAUUCUCUUUCCUCAGCGGUGCUAUGAAAUUGGUGUGUUCUGGUUAUUGAAUCCAUGAUUACAUGACACUUGGGGAUUUUUUGAAGUACAAGAGAAGAAAAUGGACCAUUCUGAAGCAUUUUCUUUUUCUUUCAUCCGAAUGGUCCUUAGUUUGUGGAGAUAUUCUCGAUAGGGAUGAACUAGUUUUUCUUUAGAAGAUUGAAUCGAGAUUUAUUACGUUUUUGUGGUUUGGAAAAUCCUUAUUAAUAAUUUAUUUAUUUUUGUUUUUUGUUUUUUAUUUUUUUAUUUUGUUUAGUUAGUAGUAUAAAAACAUAGAAAACAUAACUUUGAAAACAUAAACAACAAUGCCAAAUGCCUUUUUCAGUAUUUUUUUUUUAAAUAGAAAAUAAUUAUUGAAAGCACUUCCUAAAUAUCCUCUAACUAUAAGUUAUUUUCAAUAAUUUUUUUUAUAAAAAAUAUAGAAAACUUUAAAAAAUAUAAAAAACAAAUAAAAUUGAGUAUGAUAUCAUUCUUUCACUCUCUUCACGAUCCAUUACUAAAGAAAAAAAAAAAAUUCUUCAUAUAUGAUAUUGCUUUGAAUUACCUAUUUUUAAAUUUUUUUUCUAACUUUAAAAUUUUUCAUUAAGCAAAUAAUUUUAAAAUCAAACUAUACUUGAUACGUAAAAUUUAUUAAUUUUUAAAAAUAAUUUGAAACUCAAAAAUCGAUUUAAUUAGUACUAAAAAAUCAUGAAACUUAAUAACAUUAGAAAGUCAUGAACUCAAUUUGAAUGACUUAAUUGGCUAGUUUCUUCUUUACAUGUAAUCAUAUUUUUACAAUUUUUUCACAAAGAAAAUAAAUUCUAAAUAAAACAACACCAAAUAUAUUGGAUUCAUUACAAGUUUAGUAAUUUUUAAAAAUAACUUGAAACUCAAUGAUCCAAUUAAAACUAUAAAUUUGUGAAUAAAAAUCGAUUUAGAAUGACUUGAUUGUUUCUCUUCUCCAUAGAAUCAUUUUUUAAAUAUUUUUUUAUUAGACAAAUAAACUCUAAAUUAAAUAAGACUUAAUGCAUUACAUGUGUUAAUUAACAAGUUUAGUAAUUUUUAAAAAUAAUUUGAAACUUAAAUAGUGAUCUAAUAAAUACCAAAAUUUAUGAACAAAUAUUGAUCUACAAUGACUCUGUUAUUUAUUUAUUUUACAUAUAAUUAUAUUUUUAUAAAUUUUCUCAAUAGAUAAAUGAACUUCAAAUCUAGUGAUAUUUUGUAUUGAAUUAUUAACCGUGUUUAAUGAUUUUUAAAAAUAAUUUAGAACUCAAAAACUAUAUAGAUUACUAAAAAAAAUCAAAAUUGAUAAAUUAGAAGUCAUGACUUUAUUGUUUGUUCUUCACACACAACUAUAUUUUUUGAAUUUUGUUACAAAGUAAAUAGAUUUGAAAUUAAGACAUAGUUAAGAAUUUAAAUUUUUAAGGACAUAAGAUAAAAGAAUACAUAGUUUGACACUGAUAUAGAAAAAAUCCAAAAGAAAAAUCAUAUAGUAAACAAAAAAACAACCCUCAAUUAUGCUACCUAUCAAUUAUGCAAUUUAUAUGGAUCAAAACUUAAUUUUUAGGGUCAGUUGGGUCCAAAACACAAUUGUUCUAUUAAGAUAUUUGUAAUCUGGGCUUGGAUUUAUGGAAUAUGGUCAUGGGCUGACUACUUUAGGCCCAUGUGUACUGCUAUCCAAAGGGAUGAGUCUCAUGAAUGUUGCAGCUGUUCCGCGUCUUUCCAGAGAUUUCUAGCAACACAAUAUCGCGAGUAUUCCGAUAUUAGUACUCGCGUAAACAUUUAUAUCCAGUCUCUUUAGAUACUUCUCUAUCUUCUUGAAGCAUCUAGAAUCCACUACACAAUUUGACGAAAUUACCCUCGUCUGCACCUAUAAAUAUCUGAAUCUGAACUUUCUUUCAACCAGUACCAUAGCAACAGGUGUUGAUUUCUCAUAACGCAAAUCCAAUGUUCCAAUUCCGUCACUCUCCCUUGCGACAAACUUUCAGAUAAUGUCUCUAAUUCCAAGCUUCUUCAGCGGUCGACGGAACAACAUGUUCGACUUGUGGGAUCCGUUCCAAGACUUCCCAUUCACCGGCGGUGCUCUAUCGGUUCCCGGAGAAACGGCGUCGUUCGCGAACACUCGCAUUGAUUGGAAGGAGACCCCGGAGGCCCACGUCUUCAAGGCCGAUCUUCCUGGGGUAAAGAAAGAGGAAGUGAAGGUAGAGGUUGAGGAAGGGAGGAUUUUGCAGAUCAGUGGAGAUAGGAGUGUUGAGAAGGAGGAGAAGAAUGACAAGUGGCACCGAGUGGAGCGCAGCAGCGGCCAGUUCAUGAGGCGGUUCAGGUUGCCGGAGAAUGUGAAGGUGGAGGAGGUGAAGGCUGCCAUGGAGAAUGGUGUUCUUACUGUUACUGUUCCGAAGGCAGAGGUCAAGAAACCCGAUGUCAAGGCUAUCGAUAUUUCUGGUUGAGAAUUACGUACAUGAACUUAUAUGAUUAAAGCUUAAUUUUUGAGCUCAAUUUUAUCCCUGUCUUAAAAUGCAUCAUAAAAGGAAGAGCAUGCUUUGAGGGCUUUUUGUAGAAAAUAAUGAACAAUGCAGUCCCAACUUUUCCUGUUGCUCGGCUGUACUCAUUUUAAAAAUAAUUACUUUUACGUACCUUCAAAUAAUAACUUAGAGGUUAAUUUAAGGUUUAAGAUUAAAUUUUACUUUUUGCUGCUAAAACAAAAUUAUUUUAUAAAAAGUGAUAAAUUAAAAAUAUAAAAAAUUAUAAAAUGUUGAACUAAUUUGGAGCUCAUUUGACUGUGUGAUUAAAAAUUAUUUUUUAUUUUUAAAAAUAGAAAAUUGUCUUUAAAAAUUCAUUAUAUUGUUUAAUUGUUAUGUUUUAUUUUACGAUUUUUAAAAACAAAGUGAAAUAGAAUAUAAUUUUUAAAAAAUGAAAUCCUGUGUUUUUUAAAACAGUUUUAAAAAAUAUUUUUUAAUAAUAGUUUUUGUUGUUUCUAGUAAUAAAAUUAUGUUUCGAACUAAAUUCCAAAAAACAAUUUUUUGGUCUAAAAGAAAAAAUGUUUGAUUGAAAUAGUAAAAAAUAAUUUAAUUAACAAGUAUUUUUGUAACUUUCUUUAAUCAACUUAAUGUUGUAAAAAUAACUAAUUUUUAGAUAAAAAAUUUGUAGAUUUUCAUAAUUUUAAAAUUAAAAAAAUUGUAUCCAUCCUUAAAUAUAAAAAUUGGUUUUUUCUUUUAACUUUUUGCACUAUCCUCCCUUCACCCCCUAAUUUUUUUUCUUUCUUUUAUACACUUUCUUCUUUCCUCUCUUAAAAUCUCUCUUAUGAUAUCUCUUUCCCUCUUUUUUUCUAAUUACCUUGGUUUCCUCCCCUGGUUCUCCUCUUCCCCUUUCUCUUCUCUUCAUCUCAAUUUCCCUCACUUCUUUCUCUCUCUUUCUUUCUCUCUUUCCCAUAUAUUUUCUCAUUUAAAAAUCACCCAUAAUCAUACCCUACAUCAUAUUCACCUCCGUUACCUCAUUUAUGUUCAAAUUGCAACGUCACUAGCAUCACCCACGACCACUAUUGUUGCCAAUUUAUUUUUUUUUGGACAAAGAAAUAGGAUUUUUUUUAAAACAUUUUUCUAGAUAGUAAAUUGGGAUUGGUGUGUAACAACGUGCUCUCAACCGUGUAGAUGUUAUUCGCUUUGGACCCAAGGAGCCAUCACGACUUUAAAACACGUCUUGAAAGUUAAGAAGAAUUUAUACUUAUAUAGUGUUAGGAACUUUCCCCCUAUCCGAUGUAAGAUGUCAUAAACACUCCUUAUGCAAACACAACAUUCUCGUUGUGUUCCACAAGAUUGCGAUAUCAAAUAAACAAACACCUUUUAUGGGGCCAAACAAACCCCCACAUCGGGGUCGAGGAUCAGUUUUGAUACAAUUUAUAACGAUCCGCUCUCAACCAUGUAGAUAUUGUUUGCUCUGGACCUAAGGAGUCCUCACAAAUUUAAAACACGUUUUCAAAAUUAAGAGGAGUUCAUACUUAUAUAAUAUCAACAUUUGUAACUAUCCACACCCAAUCAUGUAAAUAUUGUUCGCUUUUGGCCCAAAGAGGCCUCAUAGCUUUAAAACGUGUUUGCAAGGUUAAGAAUAACCCAUAUAUAGUGAAAAAAUAAAGGCUAAUCUUAAUUAGAAAAACACCCCAUAAAGGAAAAUGGUAAAUUGAAUUUUAAAAAUUCUUUUUCAAAUACAAUAAAUUCAAGAAAAAAACACAAAUAUAAAGAAAAUAAUGUUAGAGAGAGCAAACUCGGAUUUUAUAGUGGCCUACAUCCACUCAUUGAUGAAAAUGUCGAUAAUCACAAAUAUAUCAAUACUUCAAUUUUACGGAUAUAUCGAUGGAUAUUUUGAAAAAAAAUUUCGAUAGUCUAGAAUUGAUUAAAACUUAUGAAAAUAUUGAAAAAAAACUGUAAAAAUGAUAUAAUAAACAAUAAUAGACAUUUUAAAGUUGUUAUAUAAAAAAAUAAUAAUGUAUGUAUAUGAUAUAAUUAAUCAUAUUUGAUAAUAAUAGUGCAUGUGUACAUAAAAAAAUAUAAAUUUGAUCAAUUUAUUAAAUUACAUCAAAUGUUAUUCAAUGAUAAUAUUGUGAUAUUUGAUUAUAAUAUAUCUCAGUUUAAAAUUAUAAUUUAUUUAAUUUCAACUGUAUUAAAUGAUAUAAAAUAAAUGACGAUAUAUGCAUAAUUUUUUUUAAUAUUUAUAUUUUUUUAUAUUUAAUUAAUAUAUAAAUGAUAUAAAAAACUGUUAAGAAAAUUAUAAUGAUAUGUUUUAUAUUUUUAGUGAUUAAUGAAAUGAAAUUUAAAAAUAAAAUAAUUAGAAUUAAUUUGUUUAUUAAAAUAUUUUUUAAUAUUUUUUUUAUGCUAGUUUUACUAUAUAUUUAUCUUGUGCCUAUUAUUUAUCAAGUGGGCAAGUUAGCUCAGUGGCCUUACCAAGAUAAGACUGAAAAAUCGUUGAAACAAGCCGAAAUUUUCCAAAAAAUGGCCUCAUCGAUUUUUUGCAUGCUUGUUUCAAUAGGCUUUAUAUUUUUAGUGAUUAAUUAAAUGAAAUUUAAAAAUAAAAUAAUUAGAAUUAAUUUGUUUAUUAAAAUAUUUUUUAAUAUUUUUUUAUGCUAGUUUUACUAUAUAUUUAUCUUGUGUCUAUUAUUUAUCAAGUGGGCAAGUUAGCUCAAUAGCCUUACCAAGAUAAGACUCUAUUUGUUUUGGGUUUGGGUGGGGUUCAAGUCCCACCUCAUGCACAAUUUCACAUUUUUUGAGGCUUUGACUGUGCGUUAACUGAUUUGACUGCGCAUUAAUUGAAGUGAAAAAUUAGUAAAAAUCCAAUUUUUUUUUAAUGAAAAAUCGCUGAAACAAGCCAAAAUUUUCCAAAAAAUGGCCUCAUUGAUUUUUUGCAUGCUUGUUUCAUGUUGUUGGUCAUCAAUUCACAAAAUUUCGGUGAAAUUUUUCAAAAUUUUCAUCUGUGUCCACUCUUCUUAAACUCUUAAUCGAGUGAGGGUUCCACUAUACCUAAAGUUUCAACUAAGCUUCCAAUACCUUUACACUUGGAUUUCGGUUCUAAUGGGCUCUUACACAAUCCCUUCAAGUUUAUACUCACUUGAAACUUCUAACUCUCACAAAACACUCAAAGUACAGAUUUAAACUUCUCGACCUAGUUCAACAAAUGCUCAAAUACAACUCAAAUGCUAAGAAGAAUGACAGGGGUGCACUAAAGAAUAUGCAAGUGAGGAUUUAAUGCACCAAGAAAAGUAUGUGAGCUUUUAGGUGAAGAACUAAUAGGUAAAACGAUUGAAUGUAGGUGUUCUUGUGCUCAUAAAUGAAAUGGAGCUCUCAAUUUAUAGGUUAUAGCCUUAGGAGCCAAAAUGUCAAAAAGUAACCUUAACCGAUCAAGUUGGGGGUCGAUUGGUUGACUAGUCGUUGGGUAAUAAAUGCAUGACAUGUGACCGUUAGGCCUCGAUCGAGCCUCGAUCGAAACUCGAUCGAGCCUCGAUCGAAACUCGAUCGAAACUCAAUCAAGCCUUGACCGCAAUUCAAUAAAGCCUUGACCGUAACUUAGCCGGACCUCGACCAGGAAGACAUAACCAUCGACCAAGAAUGCAAGGCUAUUGGAAGAGAGAGAAAAUAUUUUUUGCAUCUCUCGAUCGACCCUCGACCGGGAAGGCAUAACCGGUUGACAGGUACCUUAAUUGAUUGAUCCAGUUGACCAGUCCCUUGACUGGUUCACAUUUUUUGCCUAAAAACCUAUAUUUUUCUAUUCCUUUCACUUCUAACACUUAGGAAAAGUCUUUAGGUCAAUGAAUAUGUCAAAUUUGAAAUGAUUUACUUAAGGUUCAUUUGUUAAAACUCGAGUUUUAAUGGAAUUUUAACUUUAAUGCAUAAACCGAGUUUUUAAAUAUGCAUGAAAAGAUACGAAAAUCCUAAGUGCACCCAUGCAUUCAUCUUAUGGAUGUUUCAUAAGAUUAAAAGGUCUUUUGUAUGCGUCGAUCUUGCUUCCAUUGGUCAUUUGAUGAAUUUCUUGGAUGUUCUUUUGAAUUUCCAAACUAAAACAUGAAAUUCUUUUUAAUUCAAACAAAUUAGCAACUUAACCAUGAGUUGUUAUCAUCAAAACAUGAUUAGGAGAACCCUUGGGUUAACAUAUAUCACUAGUAACUUCCUCUCUUAUCCGAUGUGGGAUAUCACAAACACUCCCCAUGCAUACACAACGUCCUCGUUGUGUUCUAUGGGAUUGUAAGGCCAAACAGACAAACACACUUAUAAGGUGAAACAAACCCCCACACCAGGGUUGAGGAUUAACCUUGAUACCAUUUGUAAUGAUUCACAUUCAACUUUGUAGAUAUUUAUAAUGACCCACUUCCAACCCUGUAAAUAUUAUUCGCUUAGGGUUCAAAGAGGCUUUUAUGACUUUAAAACGCGUCUACGUGGUUAAAAGAAUCCUCUAUAUAUAUUAUGCCAUGAACUUUCCCCUUUAUUUGAUGUGAGGUUAAAUGGAUAUGCAGUUUGUUUCAAUUUGUUUUAUGAUGCAUUUCUUGAGGGUUUGUUCUCUAUGUAUUUUUUGUGUUCUCCAUAUUGUUUUUGAUGAUUUUUUUUUGUUUAAUUAAUAGUAUAAAUAACAUAGAAAACAACUUUAGAUUGUUCUUAAUAUGAGAAUAUAGAGAAUAACUUUGAAAACAUGAAGAACAAUGCCAAAUGCCUUUUUCAGUGUUUUUUGUUUUAUAAAAUAAAAAACAAUUUUUGGAAGCACUUUCAAAACAUCCCCUAAGAAUGAGUUAUUUCCAAAAAAUUUUAAAAUAAAAUAAAAAUAUAGAGAAAUUAAAAAAGAACAAAUAAAAUUGAUUAUGAUAUCAUUCUUCUCUUCUCUCCAUGAUCCAAUACCAAUAUAAAAAAAAUCUUCAAAUAUGAUAUUAUUUGGAAUUAGUCGAAUUUAAUUUUUUUUAACUUCUCUAAAAAUUUUCAUUAAACAAAUAAAUUUUAAAUCAAACUAUACUUGAUACAUAAAAUUUAUUAAUUUUUAAAAAUAAUUUAAAACUCAAAAACCGAUUUAAUUAAUACUCCAAAGUCAUGAAACUCAGUAACAUUAGAAAGUCAUGGACUAAAACUCAAUUUGAAUGACUUAAUUAGCUAGUUUCUUCUUUGCAUGUAAUCAUAUUUUGCAAAAUUUCACUAGGAAAAUAAACUUCAAAUGAAGCAACAUUUAAUAUAUUGGAUUCAUUAAUAAGUUUAAUAAUUUUUAAAAAUAACUUGAAACUCAAAUAAUGACCCAAUUAAAACCAGAAAUUUAUAGAUAAAAAUUGAUUUAGAAUGACUUGAUUGUUUCACUUCUCCCUAGAAUCAUUUUUUUAAAUAUUUUUUAUUAGACAAAUAAACUCCAAAUAAAAUAAGACUUAAUGCAUUAAAUGUAUUAAUUGACAAGUUAAGUAAUUUUAAAAAUAAUUUGAAACUUAAAUGGUGAUCCAAUAAAUACCAGAAUUUAUGGAUAAACAUUGAUUUACAAUAAAUACCAGAUUCUAUUAUUUUUGAGUUUUUCUUAAUAUUUUUAUGAUAUUUUUUUAUCAACUUUCAUUCAUUGAUAUUUUUUGUUAAAAUAUCUAUUGAUAUUUUUAUCCGAUAUAUUGGUAAAAUCUAAAUAUCGAUAUAUUCAUAAUUAUCGAUAUUUUCAUAAUUGAUAUUAAUAUCUAUAUUUCACUAAAAACUAUUUAUUUUUUAAUUUACUUGUAAUUACACAAAUAUUUUCAUUUUUAUAAGAAUUGAAUUGAAUUAAAUUAAUAUUAUAUAAAUUGAAUUUACAAUAUUUUAUAAUAUAAAAAAUAAUUUUAUAAAACAACUUAUCCAAGAUUUUUAUUUUUUAAAAUAUGUUUUUAAAAACAACUAACCAAACACACUUAAAUUUAUAAAAUACUAAAAAACUGUUUUUGUUCUUUCUUUAAAACAAAUAGAAUAAAAAAAAUGAUGAAAUAGACCCUGUUUAUUUAUUUAUUUAUUUUGACACACUUCUUCUUAUGUGUUUUUGAAAUAAAAAAAAAAAAUUGAUAGUCACUUCUAUAUAAAAUAAAAAAACUCUUUAGGUCUUAUUUUAGAAAAAUAAUAACUUCUAAAAAUGAUUUAAAAUAAUAGAGAUAUUAAGGUAAGUUUAUAUAUAUACUUUUUAUAUUAAAGUUACUAUAUUUUAUAUAAAAGUUAUCAUUAUUUAUUUUUUUUAAAUAUAGAGUGAGAAAUAUAUCGAAAUGAACACUUAGCGGUAAUUUCAAUAUAUUUCUUAUUUUUUAUUUUUAUAAAUAAAAAAUAAUAAUAACUUCUAGGAGAAGUUUGAAAAAUUACAAAUUAGCAAGUAGAAGAGGAUUAAUAUUACAUCCAUCCCCAUUGACAAAUGAAUGAUUUACCCAUUCACUAGGGUUUCUUUUUAAUAGAAUAUAUAUAACCAGUCAUGAAACAAAUCACCGGUUUUGCUUGGUGGGCUGGGAAUGCCGAUCUUAUCGAUUUAUCUGGUAAAUUAUAAUGAUUUUAAAAUUGAUUAUAAAGAGUUUUAGUAUCCCAAAUUUAAAAUUUUAGAAUUAUUGAAAAAGGGUUUUAAGUACAGAAGAUAAGGAAUGCAUAGCUUGACACUGACAUAGCCGAAAUCCAAACGAAAAACCAUACAGUAAACAAAAAACAACCCUCAAAACUCACGGCCACUCCGGCUGUCUCAUCAUUCUUGUAUAAAUUUAAGUGCAUGUACGUAAUUCUCAACCAGAAAUAUCGAUGGCCUUGACAUCGGGUUUGUUGACCUCUGCCUUGGGAACAGUAACAGUAAGAACACCAUUCUCCAUGGCAGCCUUCACCUCCUCCACCUUCACAUUCUCCGGCAACCUGAACCGCCUCAUGAACUGGCCGCUGCUGCGCUCCACUCGGUGCCACUUGUCAUUCUUCUCCUCCUUCUCAACACUCCUAUCUCCACUGAUCUGCAAAAUCCUCCCUUCCUCAACCUCUACCUUCACUUCCUCUUUCUUUACCCCAGGAAGAUCGGCCUUGAAGACGUGGGCCUCCGGUGUCUCCUUCCAAUCAAUGCGAGUGUUCGCGAACGACGCCGUUUCUCCGGGAACCGAUAGAGCCCCGCCGAUGAAUGGGAAGUCCUGGAAUGGAUCCCACAGGUCGAACAUGUUGUUCCGUCGACCGCCGAAGAAGCUUGGAAUUAAAGACAUUUUCUGAAAGUUUGUCGCAGGAGAGAGUGACGGAACUGGAAUAUUGGAUUUGCGUUCUGAGAUAUCAACACCUGUUGCUAUGGUACUGGUUGAAGAAAGUUCAGAUUCAGAUAUUUAUAGGUGCAGAUGAGGGUAAUUUCGUCAAAUUGUGUAGUGGAUUCUAGAUGCUUCAAGAAGAUAGAGAAGUAUCUAAAGAGACUGGAUAUAGUGCAAUGUUGUCGCGAGUGCAAAUAUCGGAAUACUCGCGACACGGUGUGCUCGAAAUCUCUGGAAAACGCGGGACAGCUACAAAAUCCAUCCUUUCGGAUGGCAGUACACAUGGGCCUAAAGUGGUUAGCCCAUAUCCAUAUUCCGCAAAUCCAAGCCCAGGUUAUAAAUAUCUUAAAAUGCAUGGUAAAAGGGAAGAGUAUGCUUUGACGACUUUAUGUGAAAAUAAUUAACAAUGCAGGCCCCGCUUUCAUCUUCCACCUUAUUUAAAAAGAUAGCCUUACGUGAUCCAUCAUAGGUCAUGUUUAGUAUGCAUCACAUAUAUUAGGACACUUAGCAUGAGAAAUUUAUCAAGACAAUGACAAAUCAUUUAUCUAAUUAGAAGAUAAUGCACUACAACUUUUAUUGGAUUACUCAAAUUUAUGAACUAAUUGUGAACAAUUUAUUUACUUACAAAGAACCUAUGACUUAUAUCAUUUGUGUAAUUUCAAAUGUAUUUAAGUGAUGUACAAUAUAAGAUAUAUGAGCUGAGUGUUUAAAUCAAUAUCAAUGUAUAAAAAGGAUAACAAAGGAACAGUCAAGUCUAACUUUGUUAUAUCAUGUCUUGCUUUUUUAAUCCCAACAUAGACAAUAAUUACCAAUUUAUCACAUGUCUCAUUGAAUAACUCAAUUAUGAAUUUCCAAUUAAAGAUCUUGUGUCACGCCCCAAAACCCGCUUCAAGGGCAUGAUGAUCAUUUCACACUUCAAGCCUAAAGGCUUAGAGUGGAAACAACACAAACAAUCAUAUUACAACUGGAAAUUUACUAAUCACCAAAUUCCUGUUCAGAGUAGUAGAACAAAAAUUCUAAAAUCUCCAAAUAACAAUUUUUGAAACUAACACAUCAAACCAAGUGUUAUUGUACUAAUAACUUCAAACUCAAAUAAUUCCAAUGUAAAAUAAAUUUUAACAUCUAACAAUGCUCAAAAUAAAGGGAGUUUUGACAAAAGUCCUAACAAGCCAAUUUCCCUUCCUAAUUGUAACUCCUCACCCGAACUAAGGGUACCUGAAAAUUAUCUAUAAAGGGGAAUGAACUCAAAACCCAAUAAAGAAUAUUAAUACAACUUCAUGGAUCAAAUAGUUUCAAUCAUGCUUACAAAUAGGAGAUUUAGUGUAAAAUCAUUUUCAUAAGAACGUUUGAGUACAAAUAUGCUAAUACAUUUUAAGGUGUUUAACCAAACAUUUUCCUAUAUAUCACAGUCAUUUCAUAUCCAUUUCAAAUAAAAUACAUUUCAAUUGUUUUCACUUUGGUUAUCAAAUAACAAAUAGUGCCGAAUUAAGUGGGACUUUACAAAUAGGUGGUUAGCCUCAAAUAUUCAUUUUAAGGUGGACGAAAUCAAACACUACUAAUACUAAUAACCUCUAACCAAACCCCUAGAGGAUAAGGUCCAAAUCAAUUACAUUUCUUACCACAAAAAUGUAAAUGUCAACUAUUAUAUUCCAUUGACAAGGGUUAAAAAGUCAACUAUUAUAUCUUAUUAACAAGGGUCAACAAACCAGAGUCAAAUUCUUUAUUUUACUUAAUCCAAUGUACGAAAGCAGAAAAUCCCCAAGUAUUUCGAUAUAAACAAAAUAAAUGUUAUAAGAUAUUUUUCCAUACAAAAAUAUAUUUGAUCCAUGCUUAAAAGCAAAAUUAACAAUUACACAUUUCAAACCACACACACACACCUCAAAAGAAGUCCUCAAAAACCUACUUUUCACCUAACAAAAUAUAAGAGAAAUAAUCAUUACUAUUUAUAUAAAAUUAUAUGUUUAACAAUUCUAAAAUUUUAGGUAUUCAAAUUAAUGUUUUUAAUUAUGAAAGAUAAUUUAAUCUAUUCCUAUUUUAGAAAAAUUAAUAAAUUUCUAAUUCAUAUAAAACUUAAAUUAUAUUUUCAAUUUAUUUAUUUACUUUUUGGGACACAACAUAAUUUAAUUAAACUACAAUUUUUUUCGCUAAUUAAAUUGUUUGCUACUUAUUAACUUAAUAUUUAUAAUUAAUCUAAUUAUAAUACUAUAAAUUUAACUAAUUAAUUUGUACUUCACCUCGUUAAUUAUACAUAGUUAUUUAUACCACUUUCUUAUUUUUUCAAACACAACUACCAUAACAAUCAUACACUCCAUGUACAAAGCAUGCCUCAUUAUUAUUAUCACUUUCAUCAUUCUUCUAUCUUCCGGUUUCCACAUGCAUGCAACUUUUUUUUUUCCAUCGUUCUUCUAUCUUCCAAUUUUCACACGCAUGCAAUAUAUGUAUAUAUAUAUUUUCCAUUGUGACAUAGUUUCAAAACCUAUUUAUUAUUAUUACACACUAUUAGAAAUCAUCCCAUACAUUGAAAUCUUAUAAUUUUUUUUCCACUCCCACAUAUUAUCAUAUAUUUAUUUACUCAUUUAAUUUUUGAAAUUUCAUUGCUUAGAUAUAUUCAUCUAAAAAAAAUUUGAAUUUCCUUAUUUUCAUCAAUAGAAUAACCUAUAUUUCUAAUUUCAAUAUUUUGACCUAAAAGUUUUAAAAUAAAUCAAUCAUAGCCUAAAUCGAAAUUUUCCAAAGAAUUUUUUUUUUCCAUCUAAAAACUUAAGGUUUUCUAAUUUCAAACAAUAAAUCAAAAUCUUAAAUUUUCAAUAUUUUGAUAUUAAAACGAAUUAAAAAAAAACUAACCUUAAUUUAAAUUAAAUUUUUUUCAAAGAAUAACUAGAGUGUUCAGAACUAACUAACGAAUAUAAUAUAUUAAUUUAGGGUUAGAAUCUUACUUGGAAAAAAAAAUAUGAAUUUCAAACUCUGAACCUUUAACCCUUGAGUCCUGCAAUCUCCAAUUCUCUAAUUCUAGUUGAUAGGGUUUUUUGAAUGAAGAAGGCAACAUGAAAAUCUAAUUUAUACCUAGGAUUUUUAAUUGUAAAAGAACUCUUUCACCUUUAAUGAAUUUAAUUAAUUACUUAAUUACUUUAUAAAUUACUAUUUUGCCCCUAUAUUAAAUUUGGGGUGUUACAUCUUGACCUUUUACAUUAUUUUCUUGGAAUGGAGAUUAAAUAUUUUGAUAAAAGAACAUUUCUUUCUCAACAAAAAAUAUAUGCAUGAUCUACUUUCAAGAACUAAAAUGCUUUACAAUAAUCCCAUUGCUACACCUCCAGUUCUUGCAAACAAGCCUUCUUUUUUAGACAAUGUCUUAACCGAUGCUAUUGCUUUCCAAAGUGUUGUCAGAACCCUUCAACUUUCAUGUGGUUGGAUAUUAUUCAUACAAUUAAUUGGGUAUGUCAAUAUUUUUAUAACUUUGUUAUAACUCACUUGAAGGUUGUAAAGUGCAUCUUAAGAUACCUUAAGGGAACCCAAUACUUUGGCUUACGUUAUCUUUCCAUCAAUCUAAUAUCUCUUUAUAGGUUUAGUGAUGCCGAUUAGGUAGGUCGUCCCAUUAUAAGGAGCACCAUCGGUUAUUGUGUAUUUAUUAGAGUGACUUGCAUCUUUUGGUGUUCAAAGAAACAACCAAUAGUUGCUAGCUUGAGUAUCGAGGCAUAAAAUCGCUCUUUGGUCUUUUUCACUAUGGAGUUAACUUGGAUUACUUAUUUGCUAUGAGAUAUUAUCAUAUCCAUCUCUAAACUACUACAAUUAUUUUGCACCAAUGUUAGUCUCUUUACUGGUACAUUAACUUUAUGUUUCAUGUUUGUUCUAAAUAUAUUAAGCUUAAUAAUCAUUUUGUGUGAGAUAAAGUUGUUAUGAACAUUUUUAUGUUUCCACACAUUCUUAACUUGCGGAUAUUAUUACCAAAUCUUUAUCACAUGAUGUCUUUAUUAUGUUUUGUGACAAGCUAAACAUCCAUAUUCAUUCAUACUCUAAUUUGAGGGGCAUGCUAAACGAUUUAGGAUAAGAACACACACAAAAAUGUAAGAGCACUCUCAUUAAUAUUUUCAUAAAUAUAAAAAAAUCAAAUAUUGAUAAUAUUUGAUUUUUACAAUACUUGAUUCUCCUAAUUUUAGGAUAUUUUCCUAUAUGUAUUUUUGUUAGGAAUAUGUUUUAUUUCUUUCAUCGUAUACUCAUCUAUAUUUUUGGACGGAAGAAAUAGAAAUUAUAACUUCCAUUAUCAAAAUACACCAAGCUUUACAUUCUAAUGAUUGGAAGUAUUUUUAAUUUAAUUUAACUUUUUUAUUUUUUAAAUAGGUAUUUGUCAGUUUUUUAAAAAUCAAUAUAAAAUUUUUCAUAAAAUACACCAAGCUUUACAAUCUAAUGACUGGAAGUGUUUUUAAUUAUUUAUUUAAUUUAAUUUAACUUUUUUAUUUUUUAAAUAGGUAUUUGUCAGUUUUUUAAAAAUCAAUAUAAAAAAUUUGAAAAUUUACUUGAAAUGAUUUUGACAAUUACUUGAUAAGUGAUUAUUGAUAUAUCAAUAAAAAAUAAUAUCAAAAUAUUUUUUAUUUUAUAUUAAAUAAUAAGGAUUCAUUUGAAUACAUUUCUUUAUUGAUUUAAAUUUUAUUUUCUAUUUUUUCUUUCUUUAUCUAUAUAACAUUUAUAAUUAUUUAUUUUUUAUUAUUAAGGAAUAGUUGACUGGUACAUAGUUUGACACUGACAUAGCCCAAAAUUCAAAAGAAAAAUCAUACAGUAGGGCAAAACCCUCAACACCCUCGGCCGCUUACAUCAUUCAUUUAUAAGUUUAUGUGAAUGUAAUUCUCAACCAGAAAUAUCGAUGGCCUUGACAUCAGGUUUCUGGACCUCAGCCUUGGGAACAGUAACUGUAAGAACACCAUUCUCCAUGGCAGCCUUCACCUCAUCCACCUUCACAUUCUCCGGCAAUCUGAACCGCCGCAUGAACUUGCCGCUGCUGCGCUCCACUCGGUGCCACUUGUCAUUCUUCUCCUCCUUCUCAACACUCCUAUCUCCACUGAUCUGCAGAAUCCUCCCUUCCUCAACCUCCACCUUCACUUCCUCUUUCUUUACCCCUGGAAGAUCGGCCUUGAAGACGUGGGCUUCCGGGGUCUCCUUCCAAUCAAUGCGAGUGCUCGCAAACGACGCCGUUUCUCCGGGAACCGAUAGAGCACCGCUGGUGAAUGGGAAGUCUUGGAAUGGAUCCCACAGGUCGAACGUGUUGUUCCGUCGACCGCCGAAGAAGCUUGGAAUUAGAGACAUUUUCUGAAAGUUUGUCGCAAGAGAGAGUGACGGAAUUGGAAUAUUGAAUUGCGUAAUAAGAAAUCAACACCUGUUGCUAUGGUACUGGUUGAAGAAAGUUCAGACUAAGUAAGAUAUUUAUAGUGGCAGACGAGGGUAGUUUCGUCAAAUUGUGUAGUGCAUUCCGGAUGCUUCAAGAAGAUAGAGAAGUAUCUAGAGAGACCGGAUAUAACGCAAUGAUGUCGCGAGUACAAAUAUCGGAAUACUCUGGUGUUGCUCGAAAUCUCUGGAAAACGCGGGACAGCUGCAACAAUCAUCUUUCGGUGAUCGUACACAUGGGCCUAAACUAGUCAGCCCAGGUCCAAAUUCCAUAAAUCCAAGCCCAAAUUGUAAAUAUUUUUAAAUAGCCCUUCUAAAAGGAAAAAGUAUGCAUUCAGGUCUUUUUGUGAAAAUAAUUAAUAAUGCUGGACAACUUAUUUGAAAAACGACACCUCUUACGAACCAUCAAAUAGUUACUUAAGAGGUUAAUUUAAAGUUUAAAAUAAAAUUUUACUUUUUUUUGGCUAUCAUAAAAUUAUUCUAUAAAUAGUGGUGAUAAAUUAAAAAAAUUAAAUAAUUUUAAAGACAACUUAAGUGUUAAAGUAAUUUAGAGCCUCUGUAGUAUAUGAGUAAAAACAAUUUUUUGAUGUUAAAAAUGGGAAGUUAUUUUUUAAAAAUUCAAAACAUUGGACGACUAAUAUUCUACAUUUUCAUAUUAUAAAGCAAAGUAAAAUAGAUAAUAAUUUUUAAUAAAUAAAUAAAUGAUGUUUUCACUUGUUUUUUAAAAUAUAGAAAAAUAAAAGAAAAUCAUAAAAAGAAACAAAUAAAAUUGAAUAUGAUAUUCUUCCUCUUUUCAUUUCAUAAUCCAAUACCAUUAUAAAAAAUCUUUAAAUAUAAUAUUAUUUUGAAUUACGAAUUUUAAUUUUUUUUAACUUCUCUAAAAUCUUUCAUCAAGGAAAUUAAUUUCUAAAUCAAACUAUACUUGAUUUGUUAAUUCAUUUUAAAUUACUUGACUAGUUUUUUUUUUUUCAUAUAAUUAUAUUUUUAUAGAUUUUUUUCACAAGAAAAUAAAUUCCAAAUCAAGCAAUACUUAAUGCUUUAGUAAUUUUUAAAGAUAGAACGAAACUCAAAUAGUGAUAAAACUAAUGCUUUUAUGGACAAAAAUUGAAUUAGAGUAAAUUAUUUAUUGUUUUUCUUCUUCAUAAAAUCAAGAUGUUAUAGAAUAAUGUAACCGUAGUUAAGUAAAAUGUGUGAAUAUAAUAAAAAACUUGGUUCAUUUAUAUUUUAAAAAUUUUAUUUUGUUUUAGAUUUAUUUUAAAUAAAAUAUUAUUAAAAAUUAUUAUCCUUCAUUUUUAAUAUCCAUAUUUUUCUAACAUAUACUAAAAUAGUAUUUUUUUAAAAAUAAUAUAAUUUAUGACUUAUUAUAAUAUUGCUAUUCAUAUUUUAAUAAAAAAUAUUUAUUUUUAAAUUUAUUUGUAAUUACAAAACUAUUUUCAUUUUUAAUAAGCCCCGAAUUAAAUUUAAUUAAUGUUAUAUAAAUUUGUUAGCCCAAGGGUUCUCCUAAUUAUGUUUUGAUGAUAACAAACCAUAGUUAGGUUACUAAUUGGUUUAAAUUAUAAAGAAUUUCAGGUAUUAAUUUGGAAAUUCAUCAAAGGACUUAAUGGAUGCAAGAUUAAGACUUUUGAAAGACCUUUUAAUUAUAGGAAACAUAUGUAAGAUGAAUGCAUGGAUGUACUUAGGAUUUUCAUAUUAUUUCAUGCAUCUUUGAAAAUUCGGUUUAUACAUUAAAGUUACAUUUUCAUCAAAAUCCGAGUUCUAUUAAAUGAACUUUAGGCAAAACGUUUCAAAAUUAACCUAUUAUUUUACCUAAACACCUUUGUCUAAGUGCUAGAAGCAAAAAGAUAAGAAAAAAGAUAGGUUUUCUGGCCAAAAAUGGUGAACCGAUCGAGACAUUGGCUAAUCGGUUAGGGUACUGGUUGACCGGUUACUCUUUCCCGGUCGAGGUUCGAUUGAGAGAUGAAAAAAACUUUCUCUCUCUUCCAGUAGCCUUUCUUUCUCGGUCGAGGGAUUUGUCUUCCUGGUCAAGGUCCGGUCGAGGGUAACGGUCACUUGUCAAGCAUUUAAUACUCCAACAACUAGUAAACCGAUCGACCCCCAGCUCAACCGGUCAAUGCUACUUUUUGAUUUUUUGGCUCCCGAUGUUAGAAAUCUAUAAAUUGAGAGUUUCAAUUCAUUUAUGUGUAAGAGAACACCUGCAUUUAUCUGUUUACCUACUUGUUCUUGCCAUAAAAGCUCUCAUUAUUUUCUUAGUGUAUUAAAUCUCUAUUUGCAUAUUCUUUAGUUCACCUUUGUGAUUCAUCCUAACCUUUAGUUGUAUUUGAGUCAUUGUUGAGUUAGGUUGAAAGAUUCAAACUUGUUAAUUGAGUAUUAAAACCUUCAAAUGAAUAGAGACUUGAAGAGAUUGUGUAAGAGGCCAUUAGAGUCGGAAUUCAAGUAUAAAAAAUGAUUAAAAGCUUAGUUGAAGUUUCAAGUAUAAGUGGAACCCUUAUUCGGUUAAUAGUUUGAGGAGAAUGGAUGUAGGCAAGAAAGUGUCAAACCAUUAUAAAUCUGAGUUUGCUUUCUGUAACCUUAUCUAUUUAUAUUUGUACUUUUUGUGCUUAAUUUUAUUAUAUUUAAUUUUUUUUUAAAACUCUAAUUCACCCCUCCUUUCUCGGGUGUAUUUAUCUACUUAGAUUAGUCCUUUAUUUUUCUCAAAAUUGAAUUUAUAAUAUUUUAUAAAAUCAAAAUAAAUAAUUAUUUUUAAAAACAACUUAUCUAAAUAAGUUUUUAUUUUUUAUUUUUUGAAAAAUGUUUUUAAAAGCAAGUAGCUAAACACCCUUAUUUUCAUGCUCUUUUUUUAUUAUUUUAUGCUUUUUAUUUUUAUUUUUCUUCCUUUAUCAUUUUAAAAAAAUAUUUUCUUUUGUCGCUUUCACACUAUGUACCUUAUUUUACAAAUAAUCUCUCCCACAUAUCUUCAAAUAGUUACUUAGGCAUGUUAAUUUUUUUGCUUUUUAACUUACGUCUUAAAGCAAGUUGAUUUAAUACUUAAGAUAGAAUUAAAAAAAGAUUUAUAUUUUUUAUUAAACAAAAUUGUCUUAAAAAAAGUGAUAAAUUAAAAAUAAACAAUUUUAAAUGUGACUUAAAUCUUAGAUAAAGAAAAAAGUAAUUGGAUAUUUAACAUUAUUAAGUUAAAGAAAGAAAGAAAAAAAAAAGAAAUUUGACAUCUAAGUCUUUAUUCUAAAAUCGUUUUUUUUUACUUGCUUUAUAAAUUCUUUUAGUAUAUUAUGAGAAAUGUUAAGGACAAUUACUAUGAGUGUAAGGAAAAUCGGAAAAAUUGUUAAACUGAUUUAAAUCAAUCAAAAUUGAUCAUAAUGGUCCGAUUUUCAAUAAUUAAAAAGUUCAGUUUGGUUUUAGAAUUUUGAAAAUUGAUCUUGUAGGUUCAAUUCUCCAUUUUCUUGUCUCUUAACUAAUAAAAACGGAACUAAAUUGAUAUUCUAAAAUUUAUAUAUAAUUAUUUAACAUUUGAUAAGUUUUUUAAUAUUAAAUUCUACUAAAGUAAUUAAUUGCUUCUUAACAUCAAAUUCAACUUGGUUUCAAUUAAUUUUAAAAACAAAUUAGACUUAGAGCUUAAUAUAAACUCAAAUUAAUAGGUUUUAGGUUCAAAUUAAAUGCAAAUCUACAACUGAAUUUAGGACUAAAAAACCCAUUAAAUUAAGUCAAAAUUGAUCUAUGGAAAUCGAACCAAAUUGAUCUUAGAAGAUUUGAGUUAGUUUGAUUUUUCACUCUAAAUCUGAUUGGUUCGGUUUUUAUGACAUAUAAAACCUAUUAUAUAGAUUUGGUUCAUUUUUUACUCAAAAAUUGACCAAAUUAAUUUUAUUUAUACCCCUUUUAAUUACCUUUUUUUUCUUUACCUUUAUUUUUUAAAAUAAAAAUAAAAAUGAACUUCCUUAUCAUUCUUAUUUCCUUGUUAAUUUUUAUUCUUCUCUCAUGUGACAUAUCACACACCAUUGUCGUCUUUUUUUGUUUUUUUUUUCUUACUCUUUCUCUAUCUAGUUUUGAUUUCUUAUUCUCUCUUUCCAUCUAUUUUUAGUUAAAUAAAAAUCGAUGAGGUGGUAUUGUUGCUCACUAUUUUUUUUCUUUUAUGUUUUAGUUAAAAAAAUUGAAAAAAUGAAGAGGAAGAGAAGAAAACGAAGAAAGAAUGAAAGAGAAGAAAAAAAUUAAAAAGAAACAAAGAAGAAAAAAGGAACAAAAAACUAGAAAUACCCAUAAGAGUUUUGGAUGAGAUAAGAAGGAAGGGGAGGGUAUUUUUACCUUUUUCAUACUUAAAUUUUAUUAGAAUAUAUAUAUAUAUAUAUAUAUAUAUAUAUAUAUAUAUAUAUAUAUAUAUAUAUAAUGGUGAUGACUGUGAAGGUAUUCUUCCUCCAAUAAGAAGAUCCAAGUAAUCAUCAGCCUUAUGUCCUUCUACCAACAAGAGUAUUAUCAGCCAAGCAUUUUCAACACCAAAAACAGUAAGCAUGUGACAACACAGUCCAAAGUAGCUUGUUAGCCUUCUUUUCAACCGAAAGAAAGAUUCUCGAUGAAAAUGUCAAAAGUGCUACAGUAUCAUCUUUUACUGUUCACUAUUCACUAUUCAUGCACAAGAUUACUAUUCAUAUCAGUUAGUAAAAAAGAAAACAGUGCUUUGUCCCAUCUUUUUGGCUAUUUAAGGAGGUUUGAUCCUCAUUUGUAAGCAUCCUUUAAUUUUUCAUUUUUCUCUCCCAAGCUUAUGCUCUCCCUUCUCUUUUCUUUCUCUCUCAAUAUGUAAGUCUUCCAAGCCCCAAGCUUUCUUCAAAGCUUUCCUCCCUUCUCCUAUUGUAAGAUAUUCAUCUCCUUAUGUAUCUAUAUUUUAUGUUAUACCUCCUAUGAUGGAUGAUUUUUAAGCUAUGUAAAUUUUCAAGUUUGUUUUAUGUUUUCUGUUUACCUCCUAUCAUGGAUGAUUUUAAAUUUAUGUAAUUAAAAGUUUGUGGUUCAUUCUCUUUAAAUUUCUUAUUAUUUAUCUUGUGUAAUUUCUAACUUCUCUUUUUUGUUUUGAAUUUUGACAUAAUUCCUGUUUUCAUUGCAUAUGAUAUUGUCCAGGGUGUCUAUGGUAUCAAAACAAAGAAGAGGAGUUAGAAAAUACACAAGAUAAAUAAUAAGAAAUUUAAAGAAAAGGAACCACAAACUUUUAAUUACAUAAAUUUAAAACCAUCCAUGAUAGGAGGUAAACAAAAAACAUAAAACAAACUUGAAAAUUUACAUAACUUAAAAACCAUCCAUCAUAGGAGGUAUAAUAUAAAACAUAGAUACAUAAAAAGAUGAAUAUCUUACAAUGGGAGAAUGGAGGAAAACUUUGAAGAAAACUUGAGGCUUGAAAGGUUUAUAUGUUGAGAGAGAAAGAAGAGAGAAGGGAGAGCAUAAGGUCGGAAGGGAGAGCAUAAGAAGGAGGAUAUAUAUAUUAUUCUACUUUUCAUAAUAAAUUUCUCUCACUCUCAUCUUUAUAUUAUAUAUAUUUUAUUUUACAAAUAGUCCAUCUAGAGAUUAUUUAUUUUCUAAUUUAAGUCUUAAACUAAGUUGCUUUAAGAUUUAACAUACAAGUGAAAAAAAGUUAUUGUUUCUAUUAAGAUCAAAUUUUCUUAGAAAAAGUUAUAAGUUAAAAAACAAAACAUUUUAAACAUGACUUAAAUGUUAGAACAACUUGUUUUAAGACUUAAGUAAAAAAGAAAUAAAAAUUUAAUAUUUAAUACUAUUAAUUCAAAUUAAAUAAAAUUAAAAUUUAUUUAUAUUUAAUAUAAAAAAAAUGCCUAACUUAUUCUUUAUUUCAAAAUUGACCUUCUCUCUUACUUUAUCAACACUCCUACCAUAUCAUGAAAAAUUAUGAAAACUCACAUCUUUUGUCUUUUCACUUUUCACCCUUAGUUUUUUUCAAAUAAAAAUAAAAGUUAAAAGGGCAAUUUUAUUAUUUUCUUAUUGUAUUCUCGCAACGCACCAAAAUGCGAGCUCUUUUUAUUCCGAUCCCCGAUGCUUAAUCACAUGUCACUGUUUUUGGUCGGUCGUGUCUAUUCAUGGGCGUAUUUGACUGAGUGGCCAAGCACUCACCCAGAGCUCAAUGGAGAACUCAAGAGGAACCCGGUUGCAACAAAGCAAAGGUCGCCGACUGGUCCUUUUUCCGCUCCCCUUGAAGGGUCACCUCAACCCCAUGCUUGAGCUUGCAAACAUUCUUCACUCCAAAGGCUUCUCCAUCACCAUCAUCCACACUCACUUCAACGCCCCCAACUCCGAUGACUACCCCCACUUCACUUUUCACCCAAUCUCCGAUGGGUUGUCAGAAGGUGAAGCUUCCACCGGAGAUAUUCUACAUCUUCUCUUGUUACUUACUGUCAACUGCGUGGAGCCGUUUAGGGACUGCUUGGCUCGGUUGCUAUCGAAUGUUUCGGAGGAGCCGGUUGCUUGCUUGGUCGCAGAUGCUAUAUGGCACUUCAGUCGACUCGUUGCGGACAGCCUUAAGCUGCCAACGAUUGUGUUGCGAACCAGCAGUGCCUCCUCCUUUCUUGUUUUUGGUGCCUUUCCACUUCUACGGGAAAAGGGUUACCUCCCUAUACAAGGUAUGUGAGUUUUAGUUAGGAUUAAUCUUCUUGUCUCUGUGUGCGAUUUGCGUUUGUCCAAAACAACAUCUGAUCUCUACGGUUUGGCUGCUGAGAAGAGGUGAGAAAAAUAAAAGAUAGGAUUCAUUUUUUUGAGCUGAGAACAGAACGUCUGCUUUAAAGAGACCUUUUCAUUUCUUAGCAAGAGCGCUUGAAGGUAUAAAAAAGAACUUCUGAUUUAGGGCCUGUUUGGAAAACCGUACGUUUUCUAGCCUGAUUGGAAAAAAGUUUCGAACUUCGAAAAUUGGUUUGUAAAAUUUUAACAGGAAUAUAUAGAAGUAAAAAAAAGAACAAAAGAGAAACUUUACCCUUUCCUGUUCCAUUGCACUUUCUCCUCUUCUUUUCUUUAACUUUUUUUAUUUUUUAUUUUUUUGAUAUCUCAGAUUCUAGGCUAGAAGAGCCACUGCAAGAGUUUCCUCCCCUCAGAAUCAAAGAUAUUCCAGCGAUCAAUACAUGCGAGCUGGAAGCUUUUUAUCAACUAGUGGCAGCAAUGGUCAAUGAAAGUAAGGCCUCCUCGGGGAUCAUUUGGAAUUCCUUUGAAGACCUUGAACAAUCUGCACUAGCCACAAUCCACCAAGACUUUCAUAUCCCUAUCUUCCCUAUAGGCCCAUUUCAUAAAUAUUCACCAACUUCAACUACCUUAUCAAUCCAAGACCAUAGCUCUAUUGCUUGGCUAGACACACAAGCACCCAAUUCUGUGGUCUAUGUGAGCUUUGGGAGCAUUGCAGGAUUGGAUGAAACUGAUUUUAUAGAGAUGGCUUGGGGACUAGCCAACAGUAAACAACCCUUCUUAUGGGUGGUUCGACCUGGGUUCAUCCGUGGCUCAGAAUGGCUUGAACCACUGCCAAGUGGGUUCCUAGAGACCAUUGGUGGAAGGGGACACAUUGUGAAAUGGGCUCCUCAACAUGAAGUUCUGGCUCAUCCUGCUGUUGGAGCAUUUUGUACUCAUAGUGGCUGGAAUUCCACGUUGGAGAGUAUUAGUGAGGGAGUCCCUAUGAUUUGUUUGCCUUGUUUUUCUGACCAAAAAGUAAAUGCGCGGUAUGUAAGCCAAGUUUGGAGAGUUGGGGUGCAAUUGGAGAAUGGCCUGAAAAGAGGGGAAAUAGAAGGGGCAAUCAGAAGACUAAUGGUGGAGAAAUCAGGGCAGGAAAUAAGAGACAGAUGCAUUUCCCUGAAGGAGAAGGCAAAUCUUUGUCUAAAGCAAGGUGGUUCUUCAUACCAAGCCCUUGAGGACUUGAUUAGUUACAUCUCAUCCUUUUUCUUCCAGUUUGAAGCAACUUCUUCAUGAUUACUGGAUGGUCUUUUAUAAUUGUUGUAGCGUAUUCUCUUGAAGGAGGUGUCCGAAUAAGCUGGUCAUUAGCUAGAUUUUCUAUUUUUCCUCAAAUUGUGACUGUUCUGCACCCACAUUGGUUAUCAAAAUAAACCACUAAAAUUGUGGAGUUUACAUGCACCGGAGAAAGGGCGUUUGCUAAUAUUUCCUGAUCAUGGAUUCAUGGUAUCAUUGCGAAGUAAACUAGUUUAAUGCACUGUUACCAGUCAACAAAUUUUAGAAAACCAUAAAACUUACACGUGAGGGAAAAAUGUGGUAAAUGGCAAUCGAAAGCCCCAAACCAUAUUCUGUUUGCUAGACGCUAUUGUGUGACCCCCCAGUAAACACAGUAUAAAAAACUCCACUUUUCAAAAAAUUAUAUAGCAUCGCAGUAACGAUUAAUCAAUAAGAGAAGCAAGUCAAAAAGCACUUUGGGAAACAGAUCAUUUUAGCCUCCUGUAUUUAUUGGAUUUUGUUUGUUCCAUUGAAGCCAGGGCCAAUUCGAACGCAGCAGAAACUGGUCCCAAUCCUCAUAAAUAAUAGGCACCGUUUGCACCUAACUCCAAUUAUGCCUCCAUAAUUGUCUACUCACUAGGCCAAGUUUUCUGGGAAGAUCUAGACAGCUUCGAAACUGAGAGAACACCCAGCCAAGCACCAAGGAGAACUCAAGAGAAACCCAUCAACAGAAGAAGGGUUUCCGACUGGUACUGCUUCCACUGCCCCUACAAGGUCACCUAAACCCCAUGCUUCUUCUUGCAAAUAUUCUGCAUGCUAAAGGCUUCUCUAUCACCAUCAUCCACACCCACUUCAACUCUCCCAACCCUGCCAACUAUCCCCUCUUCACCUUCCAUUCAAUCCCGGACGGCUUGUCUAAAACCGAAGCCUCCACCGCAGAUGUCAUAGCUCUCCUCUCACUCCUCAACAUCAACUGCGUCGCGCCUUUCCGGGAUUGCUUGUCUCAGUUAUUAUCUAAUCCUUCAGAGGAGCCUAUCGCUUGCUUAAUCACAGACGCUGUAUGGCACUUCACCCAGGCUGUUGCCAACAGCCUUAAGCUCCCUAGGAUGGUGUUACGCACCAGUAGUGUCUCUUCAUUUCUUGCUGUUGCUGCCAUGCCAUAUCUGCAGAAAAGUGGGUACCUCCCCAUAAAAGGUGAGUUUCUAAUUGAGUAAUUCCAUGAAACCAUAAUUACAACCAUUCAACAGACACAUAUGUACACUGUUUUAUGCCCUUAGGCUUGAGCUGGUCUAAUCAUCAGUCAGUGAUCAUACACAUCAAGGGAUAAAUAUAGGGAAAGUUGUGUUUUAGGGUCCUUAUUUAAAAAAAAUAUGAUAUUUAAACCCCAAGUUUUUCAAAUAUGGAAAGCAGUCAUUAAUGGGCAAAAUAAUAUGAGAUUUGUGUACUCUGUGCUGAGUCAAUUUUAUCUUCCAAAAAUGCCCUCAAUGUCUUAUGCAUCAGCAGCCAAAUAGCCUCCAUGUCAUACUUAAAAAAAAAAAUUGUGAAAAUUGAUAAUUUCUUAAAAAAACCACCCGACCCGACUUUUGGUGUCCCUUUCUCUCUUUCUCUCAUUUUAGUAAAAAAAAACCUUAAGUCAAAUGACAUCUAACUUUGCUCUCAGUAGCCCUAAAUCUGCCUUUUAGUUUGGCAACAACCAAAUCUAAGAUUUUCCCUAAGCCAGAAUCUCAAAAACUUGCCAUUUCAGAAGGUUAUUUCAAAUCUGAAUCAGCCAAAACCUUCACGUCCAACAAACCCAACUGAUACACAUCUUCCUCGAAUCUCAAACUUCUCUGUUUUUCUCUUAACAUCCCGAUUAGUCGAACGUGUUUGUCUCUAAACGUCUGGAGUAGCUGAAACUGAUACCCAUCUUCCCAAUACGUUGAAGUAAACCAAACAGGAGACAUAUCUUGUUUUUGCAUCAUCGAAGUUGGAAUUCUGUUCAGGUUUCUCAAAACGAAACUGAAAUUUUCCCUCUUGUGCGUGUUUUCCGAGUAAUCAAUCACAGGUGAGUUUUCAUUUACGGGUUUGUUUGGAUGAUGCGGAUAUCUUAGGGUUUGAAGUGUUUUAUUUUAGGGUUUCUUAUAUUUACUUCAUUUUCUGUAGAAUGAAAUAUAGGAUAAAUUAUUUUUGGUUAAAGAUAUGUUCGUAUUUAGAAAAAAUAAAUUAUUAUUAUUAUUAUUAUUAUUAUUAUUAUUAUUAUUAUUAUUAUUAUUAUUAUUAUUAUUUAUUUUUAAAUAUUUUUUUGGCUUUCCAGGAAUUCUGUUGUCAUUAGAUUUUUAGGGAAAUUGGUUCAUUUGUAUUACUACUAGUUGAUGGAAAUUUUCUUUCAAUUUUAAUGGUAUAUAUGAGAGUUACUACUAAACCCUAAACAUAUUAUUUGCUUGGUCGUUUGUCAUUGUUAUUGCUUUACUAAAUUUGAAUACCGAUUUCAUUGUGUGUAUGUUGUUAUUAUUUUGUCCUUUGUCUUUGCAUGAUAGAAUUGAAUGUAUGUUGUUAUUGUUAUUGUUUUAUGAAUUUGUCACAAAUUUGGGAAGAAAAAUAAGUGACAGCAUUGUGAAGUGUUGGUCAUGCCUUACUUUAUUUGCAGAUUUUAUUUAUUUUUGAAUCGUUUAAUGUGUUGUUGAGGUAAGAAUUGGUAAGCAUUUUUUUUGAGUUAUGUUUUGGGGACGACAUUACAUUCCUAAGUCUUUAAAUUUGAGAUGAGUAUAGUUUUGUAUUUAUCUUUUUAUGAGUGGAAAAUUGUAUUGUAUCUAUGCCAUAAAAUUAUUCUCAAAAACGCUAACCAAAUAGUAUAUUUGCUUUGUGGGAAGUAAUUGUUGAUGACAUGAACAAACUGAAAAUGGUUUGUUAGGGGCAGUGAUCAUAAUUAUGGCUUUAAUAUAUUCCACAUGUGUUGCUAUAAUGUACAGUGAAAAAAAAAUUUGCCUUAGUGGAGAUACAUGGUUUUUUUUUUUUUUUUUUUUUUUUUGUGGAUGCCAUGGUAUUAAGAUGUUUUAUUUUCUUGGGAAGUGUACAAUCUCAUCAGAAUUGUUAUUUCCUAACAAAAUAAGUUUUCCUAGGCAUUUGCUAUUGCUGUUGGUCCUACCGUUGCUGAUCAUUCUAUUCACUUUCUGUACUUUGCAUAGUCUGCGACUAACAUUGAAUACCUUGAACACAUUCCUCACUAAUAUAUAGAUGGCCACUGUUCGACGGAAAAAAAAAAAACACCUCCCAGCUACAUGUAGCCAGGUUGCCAACAAAAUACAUUUUGUAAACUGAAUUGAAAUUUUUUUAAUUUUUUUAUUUAUUUCCCCCUAUAUUGAUAUGUUUUGAUACUGAUAGAAAUUGCCCACUGACUGCAGGUGAAACUGCCAAAAUCACGGUGUUCUGGCAAAAAAUUCAUUUCAGUCAUCGCGAGGCUUCCCGAUGAUAAACGAGACGCCAUUAUAGAAAUGGGAUUUGGAGGACUUCUACACUUGGCUUGUCGAGAACUACGCUACGAGUUGUGUUCUUGGAUAAUUUCUAAUUAUGACACUGCCUACCAUCAACUGAAUAUGGCUACCGGCGUUGUUGUCCUGGUAACAACACAAGAUGUCGGCAAUAUUAUGGGCAUCCCAUGUAGUGGUGAGGAGAUUGUGGUGCAUACUAGGAGAGGCACCUCUAAUCGCACCUACACCAUAAGUCUAUUGGAGCAAAAUCUAGAGAACUUGGCCAUUGGUGAUGACUUUAGGAAGACUUUCUUGAUUUUUGCAUGUGCCACCCUACUUGCACCUAACUCCAAGCUUGAAGGAAUACAUGACCUAUGGGACACCAUAUGGGACGGUGACGUUGGUGUCCAAAAGAAUUGGUCAAAAUUUGUCCUACAUUACAUAGAGGACGGAAUCAGAGAAUACCAGAAAAACCAGCCAACUUACAUACGCGGCUGCCGUAUUUUUCUCCAGGUACAGUUAAUACUUAAUGAAUCUAUUGUUUUAAUUAUGUCUACUACAUUAUCUCAUUUUAAUGUAGUUUCAUUUAAAUUAUAAUUUAUUUUAAACCGUAUUCAAAGAUGUUGUUGAAUGUGUUUCAACUAUUACAUUUUCCUGUCAUUUCACAGCUCUUCUACAUGACAAAAUUUUAUUUGCCAUCCGUCACGGUUGAUGUCACUAUGCCAUUACUUGCUGCAUGGAGUGAUGACCUAAUCAAAAGACGGUUAUCAGCUAAAAUUGCCACAUUUGGUGGUUAUGGUCAUGUCCAUGUAAGGUCCAAUUGUACACUUCUUUCGUUAUAAAAAAUUUCUUAUCCAUGUUAUCUCCAUAUUUAAAAAAAUAUAUUCUAAUUUUUGUUUAACGACCCUUUCCAGACUCAACAACUACCAGAAUCUGCUGCCCACUCCCAUGCACAGGCAGUAGGUGGGCAGUCCUCGGCUUCUGAUGAUGCUACUGAGGUAGUAAAUGUCUUCAUUGAUAGCCAAGUUCACAUAUGCAUAGUUGUACUACAGUAAUGCAAUUUUUUCGCCUCAUUCCAGUCAUUGAUUUUUUGUUUAAAAUUUUUUCCUCCCCAUCUUAGGUAAUUCAAGCACGUAUGGUAGAAAACUCAGAAAAAUCGUUGAGAUUAGCCUCUUCAUUAGCUAAAGAUGUUGCUGAAUUGCGUUCCCGUCAGUUUGGGUCGCAAUACCGAUGUUCAGCUACUCCAACCCAGCCUUCAGCCCAAGUCCAAGAUGAACCAGCUCCUACGACAGGCGACAUUCAGCUUUCAACUGAAGAAUUUGUUGAACAACCCAGCCUACCAUCAGCACCGCAUUCUCCAACUGAAAGACAUGAAUCUUUAUUUGACCAUGGACCCUCAUCGCUACACCAAGAAUCUCAUGACCAAUCCUAUCCUUACCCACACUUGGAAAGUGUAGAAGAUGUCCAAAAUGUUGGCACAAUAGCUACUCACAGCCAUUUAGACAUACCAACCUCAAGUCACAAAUAUAAACGGACGGGUAGGCGGAUUGUGAAAAGGCCUGCCAUUUGUAAAUCUCCAUUUGUUGCACAAUGCCUUAAACUGUUCCCAAAAAUAUCACAUAAGGAUAGGUUGGUAGCUGAUUUUGCUUUGGACGAAGAUGCUGAUCCAAGGUAGUUUUUGAAUUUCAUUUGCAACCAUAUUUAAUGUGCAUAAAUAUGCCUCUAUUGCAUGAUUUAGCAUAAUCCUUUAUGACAUUUCAGCGAGGUUGUAUGUGAUAUGCACGGACUGUUUAUUACGAGGGCCGAGCUCGCUUCUCUUAAUGGAGGUCGAUGGGUGAACAACAUUGUAAGCUACUAAUCCUCCAAUUUCCUGAAUACCCAAUUCACAUUAUUUUUUUCCAAUAAUAGAUGCUUUAAACUUGGCUAAUAAUUGAGUACCGAAUUUUUUUUUUUCCAGAUUAUUGGUGUUAUGUCUCGCAUGUUGAAUGCUAACCAACCACAUCCACGACGCUGUCACUACUUCGAUCCUUCAUUUUCGGUACACACUUUUCUAGACUUAUUUAUUACAUUAAGUAAAAGUAAAUUGUAUUCGUUUAUGUUAUUAUUAACUAAUCCCCAACUUGAACAGGUUGUUCUUGCUAGUCUUUUACCGAAAGCCAGAAAAGAAGAAAUACUUGACAGAUCACGCAUGUUUCUUCAAGCUGACAUAGUGGGACACGAUGUAGCGUCCUGUGAAAUGGUACAUUAACAUACUCCUUUCAUAGCUACCUAACAGUGUGGCUUAUAUCUAUCAACAUAGACCCUAACAAUUCAAUUGUUGAUAAUGUAGUUGUUCAUUCCCGUAUGUCAGAAUAACCAUUGGCACCUUCAUGUGCUGAACAUUCCGGCUGGCCGUAUCGAGAUCCUUUCUAGUCUGCCACUAUGAAGAGGGAACUACAUUAGUGCUUCCACUAGGCGAUUGCCAAUGGCUUUGGAGAGAGCAUUGCAUGCACAUGGAAUUCAUGUGAAUGUGGAGGUUUCAAAAUUGGUCCAUGUACAGCCAGAUCUAGUGCAACAAAAAAAUGGGUAAAUUUUGUUGUGAAUGACAGUUUUGGUUGCAAUAAAGUUGUAGUUAAAAUGCGUUAGACGAUUGAUGUAUGUGUAUGAUAAUCCAAAUGUUAUGGUCUUCUAGGUAUGACUGUGGUAUUUUUGCACUCAAGUACAUGGAAUAUUGGAAUGGGGCUACCUUAACACAAGCAGUUGCAGAGGUUAGUGUUGCGUUACAACAUGUUUUAAUCAUAUCUUCCAAUUUUGUAUACACUUGCAAAUAAUUUUUAAUGUUAUUUGUAGGAGAAAAUGCAUGUUUACAGGUUGCAAAUGGUUGUGACAUUGCUCCUUAAUGAAGCCAACAAUGUUAGGGGAAAUAUUAUACAGGCAUGUGGAUUGUGAGAGGUUAUCGGACCGGAAAAUGUCAAAAUAAGGUAUUUCGUAGAAUGACACCUAGUUUUGCAUUUGUAAGUAGUGAAGUUAGUUGUGUUAUCCCUUUAAUUUCCUUUUCUGAUCAUUUUGAUGAAUUUCAGCCAUGUCAAGCUAUUUAUUCAUGACUUUAAGUUACAAAGUUAAUAAAGGUAAGUUUUGUUUUUGGACAAGAAUGGACAAUAAUUUGCAUAUUAACAAAUUGGAGAAAAUGGAAGGUACUGAAUGACAACGGUAUUUUUUUCCAAAAACUGAUGUGUCUUGUGAUUUUUUUGUUAGCUAGUUAAUAUGUCAAAUUAUUACCCUAUUGUUCCUUCAUUGGAGGACCUACCAAUUGCACAACUCUCAACUUAGUUCUUUAAAGUAUGAAGUUCCCUCUGAAAUAGUUGUUCCUAAAUUUGCAUUGAAAAUGAAACACUUAUAAUAUUUAGUAAAUAAGCUAUAGUUUGACACUAUUUCCAGGCCUUUUUGCAUAUAAGAUAGUAUUAUGUGAUAAAUUUCGAAGUUGACCUGUGUAGUUAAAAUUAUGAGUUUUUUGGUUCUUAGUUCAGUUUUGUUGAGCUCGCUUUUGAACUUAAAUUUUCAUUUAUUAUGAAUUGAACUUUGAAAAAUGAUAUGAAAAAUAUUAUGUUACAAUGGAUUACACUUGAGAAGACAAAGAAAUUUGUAUGCCACAUUGAGUUGCAUUUGGAACGUGCUUUUAUAAGCUUGGCCAUUUAUGUUUGAUUCAUAAAUAAAUGUUUCAAAUACAUUCGAUUUUAGACACAAAUAAAUUAAUUUAACAGGAAUUCGUACUUUGCUUUCAUAUGAGAGAUGUGGAUUUUAAGCCAAUGUUUGUAACUGCUUUUGCUUUGUCGCCUAUAGUUUUGUUCGCUUUUAUUUGGUAUCCACUAAAAAAUUAUUGUAGUUUUGGUUGGUGGUCCAUUGGUUGAUUAUGGGAUGGUUUCCGUGACUUUUUCCAGGUAGAGAACGAAGAAAAUUCGGGAGAUGGGGUAGAAAAUGAUGGAGAUGGAUAAAUGAAUGCAGAAACUGGAGAAACACAACCUCAAAGUGCUGAAAAAAUGAGGCACAACAGGCAGUGUUUGACGAGAGGACAUGAUAUUAAAUUACACUGAAAUGACGAUGAGAAAAAUGCCAGGACAAAUUCGGUUAAUAUACAAUUGGAAAGUAUUAAUUUUGGCUUCUAACCAUUUGUAUGCCAUAUGUAGUAAACAGAUAUGUUUUAACUUCAUUGUGUCUGUAUUUGAUGAAUGGUAUGUGGGCCGCUGCAUAAGCCAUUUGUUUGAAGAAUUACAGUCCAUGGAUGCUAACAAUGUGGCUAAUCAGAAACUUUUGUUUCAUUAGAUUGACUGAAAUUGAAUUGUUAAUUAACUUGAGUAGGAUAUCACUGCUUUGUGCCCAGGUACUUUCAUUUAUAUUGGAAUGAGAUGACUAUGUUAUGUAGAACAUAGAAGCAUUAUUUAAUCUAUGAGAUAACAGUGUGUUUGAUGAGAUUUUUUUUUCCUUCUCUUCAGCCUAAUAGAAGUACAUGUAGGUCGUAGGAGAAUAAUCAGGAUAAUUGGAUGCAUGUUUCCAUGGUAGCAAUUGAAAGUGCUACUGAAAAUUUUCCAGUAGUUUGUAAUCUGAACCCCAUGAAAUGUGUAAUGCAAUUAUGAUGGACAUGCAUUUAAUAGUAGGACAUGACAUGUAGUUGUUAAUGGUGAUAAAAAACUUUAUAUAGUUGUUCAAUUGCUGUGAUAAAUAAAUAGUCACAACAAAAUAUUGACAAAAGAACAACAUUUCUCGAAUGUCCAUUUAGGUAGUACAUGAGGUACAUUAAGGUAGUACCUCAGGGUCUUAAGGUCGUACCUCAUGUGCAUUAAGGUAGUACCUUAAAUUUCUGAUGAUUACAUAAGCUAUCGAAUGAGUCAGCAAGAGGAACAUAACAAUGGCAUGCUGUAAUAUGUAAUGCAAUGAACUAAUUCUGGCUUAAAUCAUAGAAGAACAUCAUUUCUCUAAGGUCCCUUAAGGUAGUACCUUAGGUACAUUAAGGUAGUACCUCAUGUGCAUUAAGGUAGUACCUCAAAUUUUUUAUGAUUACAUAACCUACCGAAUGAGUAAGUUAUAAAAACAUAACAAUGGCAUGCUGUUAUAUGUAAUGCAGCAUGACAUUGUUAUGUUCUCAUAGGUUACCUUAUGUAAUCAUAAGAAAUUUCAGGUACUACCUUAAUGCACAUAAGGUACUACCUUAAUGGUCUUCAGGUACUACCUUAAUGUACAUAAGGUACUACCUUAACGCACCUGCGAGAAAUGUAGCCAUUUUGUGGCUUCAGAUUUUUAUUAGUUAAUUUCAUGACCUAUUGUAACAUGACAUUGUUAUGUUCUCAUAGGUUACUCCAACGGUACCUUAUGUAAUCAUAAGAAAUUUCAGGUACUACCUUAAUGCACAUAAGGUACUACCUUAAUGGUCUUCAGGUACUACCUUAAUGUACCUCAUGUACUACCUUAACGCACCCGCGAGAAAUGUAGCCAUUCUGUGGCUUCAGACUUUUAUUAGUUAAUUUCAUUACCUAUUGCAGCAUGACACUACCUUAAACCAUAUUCGAUAAAUUUUACUCUCCCGACAAUUUUUCACUCUCAAUAUUUAUUUAAUCAUACUGUUGUUUUCUCAUUUUUCUGGUUAGGUCAAGUUACGAUGGUUGUGGUUGGAUACGGAAGGUGAUCAUGCGAAGCAAAUAUUUAUUGGUUUUCUACCACAUUUAUUUUUUCUAUAACAACCUGUACAUGGUUUGAAGCACAAAAUUAGCAAAAUGCACAAUCAUUUAGGAACCCUGAGUAGCCCGUGCCAAUGAGAAUGUGCAAUAGUCCUGAACCCUGGUAGAUCAGGAUUUGAAGGGUGCCAUUGCAAACUAUUGGUAUACCAGCAAACUGUUUCUAAUGUAGUAAAUCAAACCAAACAAACCUCCCAACUUACCAAUAACAUUAACAGAAGAUGAUAUGUAAAAGCUUACACAAUAACUAAAUAUGAAAGGAAAGUCGUCAAACAAUUUACUAAUGUGAGUAUGGAAGGAUAAACUGAAACUGCAUCAGUGUACAAACAAAUAGGUUCCAGUCUAUGUUUGUUGUUCUCUUAUGAAAUUAGUACCAUACCCCAUAAUAAACCUAUCACUGUGGAUCACAUCUUACAAUCACAGUUGUUGUCCAAUCAGUUGCCAAUACAACACUGACCAGCACCCUUAACUAUAAUAAAAGAACAAAUACUGAGUGUUGUCCAUGUUCCUACUCCCUAACUUUACAAUAUUGAAGGAAAAAUGAACAGCCCUAUUACAUUGCUGUGACUGCAUCCCAUAUGCUCCAACAGCAGCAUUACCAGGUACUCUUCCUUUCCCUUACACGUUGGCCAUUCUUGUACAUAAAGUCCUCAUAUUCAGCAUAACCCAACUGCCACUGUUACAAUGGGAUGUGGAAUACUUCAUCAGAUACAUCACAUAUAGAACAUAAAUAAUGGUUUUACAAUUGGAACAAAUCACAUCAGCACACAACAUGAUAUGAAUUAAUAAAUUUUGGACAAACUAAAAUCAACCCUUGGUCAUUUUGGUACGUAGCAGCAGAUAGGAAGAAACUUAUCAUGAACUAUGAACUCACAAAUGACAUGCGGCCAUGAUUGUAUCUCUGACACUGUUGCGUUCAUUGAGGACUAUUUGCAGCACUAGCUGGAGUUUGUACAUGUUCGUCUUGUCCUACGGAAAUGGGAAAAAAUUAUUCCAUGCGGUUGAGAAAAUAACACUCAAAUCAAAGGACAAAUAUGCAGAUAAUUAAAUGAAACAGGCCAGCUGACACUGAUAUUAGCAACCAGCCUCUGAAAAAUGCCACCAAAUGAUGCCAUUCAUUCAAAGUAUUUAUUUUCGGAUAAUUAAAUGAUGCCACCAAAUGAUGCAUGGGAACACAAACUACAGUAUGGUUGAAAUGGCUUAAGCAAUGUAAUCUUACCAAAUACAUGGGAUUUGAGUAAAUACCAUUAAAACAAGAUGUGGUGCAAACAUAGUUCGGACUUUUUGAAAGAACUGAAUCAGUAGAGAAAUAUAAUGUAACUCAAUGAACAUUGUAGGUGAAUGGAAAGACACAAAACAUUCAAAUAGUAACGAUGAUUGGGUGACAACCAGUUAGUUGAAAUAGAGUAAUACAAGAUGAGCAUAAUGCAAUAAGUAGACAGAUAUAGAUUUAGGGCAAAGGAUUUUUGCAGGUUUUUCUGUUGUGGCCGGACAUAUGAUAACGAGAGCAAUAAACAGGCCGUUUAUCUUGAAAUUGAGACUCAAUGCGCUUCUUCCUUGGCCUUCCGGGAGGGCGCUUUGUAUGUGGAGGCUUUAGAGAGAAGAACACCUCCCCGGUGAUAGAUUGAACCAAACCAUCAUCGUCCACAGUAGGCAUGUCAUGGGUCUCUAUGCCGGAGAAAGAGCCCCCAUAUAUCAACUCUUGCAUUGGGUAUUUGUAGCAAUCAUCAACGAAAUCAGUAACAUUUUGACCAAUGGAAAUAAUGACGGCUAUGGCAUGCUCACAAGGGAUUCCCAACAUUUGCCAACCCCUACAAGUGCAUGUAUGGUUCAAAAUGUCUACAUUCAACAAGGCUCUCCCGAUACAUACCCCAAAUACUCCAUUCUUGAACGGUGUGACUGGAUACACUGCACCCUUUGCAAUAUUUUCCUGCACCUUAGCUUCAAUUUUUGGCCCUAUACACCCUUUCCAAUUCUUAGACUCUUCUUGAUGCUUCACAAGCAUAGAAGCUAACUUGGACAUGUGCUCCAAUAAAAAGUUACAAAUAGAGUGAUGUCUUUCAAUCCGUAACCAAGCAUUAAAUGACUCGGCAAGGUUCGUAGUCAUUUUAUCCCAUCUUUGUUUUGGGAAUUUUGACAUGGCCCAAUGGUGCGGCGCAUUUUCUUCUACCCAUGUGGCUAAAGCCUCGUUGUAUUUUUUUAGUUCAAACAUGGAAAUGUUAUAAUCAUGUUCUAGCCUUCCAUACGCAAUGCUAUCUAGGAAUUGCAAUGCAUUUUCUUUACCCUUGUUCCCUCGUGUGUUAUGCUUGGACAAGAAACUACUAAAAUUCUCCUUCAAGUGACGGUAGCAAUAAGCAUGGUUUUCAAUGCCAAACACCUCAGGGACACUACGAAGCAAAACAUGAUGUCUAUCUGAGAUAAUAAUAACUUCCUUGUUUCCCACAACUAUCUUCAGUUUUUCCAAGAACCAUAACCAAUCUUCAUAAUUUUCCGAGCUCAUCACUCCAAAGGCUAAGGGGAACAUGGAGUCAUUAGCAUCGUAAGAGGUGGUUGAAAAUAGAGCACCGCCAUAAGGCCCACUCAUAUGGGCCGAAUCAAUUGCAAUGAUUGGUCGACACCCCUGUGGACCCGCAUUUUUCACGUGCGCCCCCACUCGAUCGGCGAGACUCGCUUUUUAUUUGUGAAAAAUUGAUUUUUGAAAAAAAGUUGGAGUCGCCACCUAUUUUAUUUUUAUUUUAAAGGGAAAAUAAAACAAGAAAGAAAAACCCUAAAAUGUGACUCCAUAAAUUUUGGAAAAAGCAUGUCUUUGAAAACCCGAGUCUAAGUUCGGGGAUCAGGUUACUUAUUGGGAAGGUACCUCUAGGAGGUAGCACCCCUCUAAGCCCUAAAGAGGUCUCUACUGACUAAGUUAAGGGAAGCGUGGCAAUUAAAUGGUUGAUCAUGGAUACCUAAGUAGGCUAGGUGAUUCCAAAAAACAUAACAUAUCAAACAAGAUCAAAUCACAAUUAAGGAGAGUUAAAAAUGCGUACCUGGACGGCUUCCCAAGCGCUAUCAUAAAACAUAAGAGAUUAGUUUGGAGAUACAUCAUACAACAUUUGUUUUAUUCAAGCAAAUCAGGCAUAUAUCAAGACAUUCAAGAAUCACGCCAAAUAUGGAUACGGUCAUCAAUGACAUACAAGUCCAUAGAGUUCUAAAAAAAUAGAUGAGAAGAGAGCGUACCUGGAUAGCAAGCUAGUAUUCCUCUAUGAGAAACAAGAGUAUCUCAACAAUAAAUAUUAAGUGAAUUCAGGUAUUUCAUCAAGAAGAAUAAAAAAUCAACAUAUCAAGCAAAUAGUAUUAAAGUGAGUGUUAUGAAUGUCGGGCCCCCACCAAAGCCCUAAUUAAUUUUGCAUGAGUUGGUUCCAUAAAUUCCAUGAUUUGGAAUUAUGAAGUUUAUUCAUGCUUAUUGAAAAUCAAGAAAAACACAAAAAAAAUAGUUAAAAAUCAAAUAAAACUUUGAAAGUGCAUACCCGAAGGAAAGUGGCAGCAAAUAGCAUGUUAAAACUGGGAUUUUAUACCUAGAAAGAGUUUGGGGGUAAUUCCCUAAAGUUAGGAUUAUUUGGAUGAAAACGAUUUUGAAAACACAAUUCAAAACGCGUAAAAGCACGAGGAGAGCAGGAGGGUGCAAGAGGAAAAUGGUAUUGUGCUCUAGAACGGUCUUCAGAGGAGAUCUGCUGGAAUUGAUUCUGAUGGCUUCUGUUGAUGUUGACUUGGAAUGAACUGCUGUUGAAACUGAUGAGGUUGUUGCGGAAAUUUGUUGUUGUUUUCUCUUCGAAAAGGUCCGUGUUCAGAAGCCGCAACUGGGCAUCCCAAAAUCAUCUAGAUAUAGGUCACAACCUUCAUUAGGCGCCUUGGCGGUUUAUUGGCAUGUCUUAAAGCUCCUUAUUGACAUUUAAAACAUAACCAGAAACAACUUUUCCUACUCCACAGUGCUUAUGGAAUUCUUGAAAAUCUGGAACAUAACUGUGAGUAAUCUUGGAAACAAUUAGGCAAUCUGUAGGUUCUUCACUUGCUCUCAUCGUUAAGUUACCCCAACCUUUCUGAUACCUGGACUUGCUACCUCUGAUUCACUUGGAGAUCAUCAACAAGAGGACAAUCAAGGUAAAGUGAGCCCACUGAUUCUUAUUCAUGCUGGUCAGAUGCUAACUUGCUGAUGUGUUCUGUCAAACUAAGCAAGCCCACUGGUGGGUUCUAUUGAAUUGAGAAACAUUAUAUUUACUCUCAAAUUUAAAUCUUUUAACCUGAAUUUAGAAUCAGCAGCGCCAUUAGAGUCACUGACAGUGGCAAGCUUCAAUUUGUGUUGCUUGUCACUUGCUCUUUUUAAUACUCUCCACCUUAUUUUCUUCCACCUGUAGUUUGGUUGUCAAUCAUUUCUUCUCUUCUUCAAACUCUCUAAUCUGUGCCUUUGACUUCUCAAUCUGAAAUUCUGGAGCAGCUUGCUUUUCUCGUAGAGAUUCAGUUUCUGCUGCAUUGGAUUUUCUCUUCAAAUCCUCAUUUACAAUUUUUAGCUGCUCAUUUUCUUUCAUCAGCUUUGCAAUUUCAUCAGCUUUUACCUGAGCUUGUCUUGCCAGACUGAAUGCAGUAAAAUUGGUUCCUAGAUAUGUUCUCUUCCCUCUUCUAUGCUUAUUUUAGGAGGACAUGGCAUUUUAGAUUCUUCGAUGUGGCACAAAGCAGAGGAGGGAGAUAUGAUGGUUCGAAUUUUGACUGAUUCAAUCCGUUGUGUUUCUGGAACCCUGUUAGAGGAACUAAAGGUUAUCAUGUCUUGUCCUUCUUUCAGAUUCAAGGAUGAAAUCUUUACUGCCAGCACCAGAUGCAACAGCAGCAGCCACAACUACAGGUUCUGUUUGAACUGUUUCAGGUAUUGUAUCAUCUGAGAUUAAUAGAUCUUUUGGAACUAGACAAUUUUGAUUAUUAGAUGGAGUAUCAUCUUCACCAUUAGCACCACUAGCAUUGUCACGGAUCUGCUGAUGGGUUAAUGCAUAACCAGAAUUUGCCAAAAGUUGAUUUAGGACCCCCAUCUGGUGAGGAACUCAAAGAUAAUCAGCAUGGUUGGUAACUUCUCGAUGAGGAUGCACAUAAGGCUGCAAAUAAGCUGUGGUUACUGGAAUAUUCAUCCGAUAUUGCUACUGUUUCAAAGGCUCUUUAAAGCUUAUAUGAACGCUGCAAAUCUUACCAGUAUUGAUGGCAAUCAACCAAGCUAGUGAGUGCAACACUUCGUCUUUCAUGAUCAAGUCAAUCUGAUAAUAGGUCUCGCAUCAUGGCUGGUCAUUUCACAUAAAAGACCAGUUUGGAAAUAGUAACAAAGACCGUUAGCGUUAUGUUCAUUGGGCAAGGGGUCAUACUCUGAGCCAAGGUGAAUCAAAAGACUGUCAUUGGAAAAUAUCCUUCAUAAAUUCUUGGACUAAAAUGAGUCUUUGCUAGCAAACUCUAAUCACAUUUAUCUCACGAAUUUCCUCAAGGACAUGAGUAUUUUUUUUUAUGACAUGAGAAAUGAGUCCUCUUUUGGCAGGCACAGAAUUUGUUUUGAAGAACAGACAUGACCAGCUUCAAUCCUGAAAUCUUGUCAUGAAAAUCUCCAAAAUUGGAUGAAGCUGGUGAAUAAUGGUCAUCUUCUUUUCAUCUAAACCAGCCAUUCUCUAUAUUCUGGCCAUGUAGGAAGCCUUUCGGAUUGUAAAUCUCGAACAACGUCACGCAUAACCUCCAGUUCUGAACUUCCGGGGUACAGUCUCUUCAUUAAGCCUUUGUUGUUUCUUUCCCCCACUGAUAUCACAGUAAUUCAACUCAAGCAGCCAGCUUAGCAAGUUACACAAGCACUUCUCGGGAAGUUCAUUUAAACAGCAUAGAUGCUUCCCAAAUAUUCUGAGAAGUCAGAAAGAGAUUUCUCAUUAAUCGACUCACUGCCCUCCAUCAAAGUCACCGUAGAUGCAGCAGCAUGACUAUCAAAGAUGUACUUACAGUGAACAUCGGCUUCAAUUCAUUUGCUAUCCUUAUUAAAUUCAGUAAAGUCUUAUCACAGCUAUAUGAGUGCCAUGGUUCCAUCCUCAGAAUCAUCAGAUUUAAGCUUCAGGUCCGUGCCUGAGCUGCUUCAUUAAUCUAGUCAGGGGCUUCCCUAGCUUGUCGAGUGAAUACUUGGUGGCUCCCCUGCUGCUGUGGAUUUCCACGAAGUAUGCCAUAUCCUAGGCAGUAAUGGGGAUGAUGAUUCCAUAUUCGCUUGUGGAGACAACUGCACAUAUACUGAAUCAAAUGGUGAAGAAAACUUUAUCAUGGAAGACAUCAUUUCCCUCCAUUUCAGGCAUGACUUAAUUAAUUCCUCCAAAUAAACGCUUAGGCCCAUGACUUAGCAAACAGCAGAGUGCCCUGAUGAUCAUAGCAAGAAAAAUCCAGCAUGCUUUUGGGACCACCAAGCUGGUUCAAAUAUUGUUGUAAGAGAGUGGCAAUUACAGCAGCAACUGAUUUGACUUCAGGCGGACAUGCUGACCAGUCUUAGUAGGGAAGAAAAAAAAAGUGCGUCCCAGGUUGCUUCUCUGAGAGCUUCACAAAAGCAAUAUGUGUUUCAUCAACGUUCAGAUCAGAUAUUGGAGUUUUAUGUAAACUGUUGGAACUGUUGGAGACUUUGGCAUCAUAAAUUGCAGCAAGAUUGAAAUUUUGAAUUACAUCUCUAAGUGUUCCAGAGAACUUAGUCACGUCCGCCUCCUAUGCCGUUUCUUAAUAAUUCUCAUUCUUUCCAAAUGAUUCCGAAGGUUGAAAUUAGUACCCUUGUUCGUCUCAAGGAAGCAAACCGUUGUACUGACUAUUCUUGUACUUAGAACCUCCAAGAUCAACUAGAUUCAGAUUCUGAACCAGCACUUUGCAAUUCUGAGUUUCACAUCCAUCAAGAAAACCCAAGAGUGUUUCAAUAUCUUCUUUGCCCAUUCUGAUGGAUCAUUGUCUAAAGCAUCAUAGACACUCUUCCUAAUUCUAGCACAACCUGUUAUGCAUUGUGCAAGUUUGAAAGAUUGGGCAUCAAAGUGGAGUUGGGUAAAAAAAGUCCUAAGCAGUGGAAGUACACAGCAUGAUGCUGUCAAGUUUCAAUAACUUAAAUAUUGACCAACUUAAGCCAGACCAUAUUCCUAAAAAAAAAUCCAUUCUUCCUCUGCUCAUGUAAACUUGUAAUGCUGUUAGAAAUCUUGUCUUCAGAAUAGCAACCCUGACAAUUGAGUAUGGAAAGCAGAAUAUCCAUGUGCUUCCAACUAAGCUUUUUACAACCAUCCUCGUAAACUGAGGUGUGCCAUUCUAGAGAAAAGCUACAGUCUUUUAGAAAUCCCAAUACUUCUAAAGCAGCUUGAAUUAGCAUAUUGCAGCAAUUGGAAGUUGGAUUGACUGAAAUAGGGGCUUGAACACAUCCAUCUGUAAAUCUUACAGACCGACCACCCUCAGAGAAAAGGUCUCCAAAAAAAAAAAGGCUUCAGCUUCAUGACAAACAGCAUUCUCUGUUUCAGAUUUGCAACUGCCCCUGUUAUACUACUCCUGUGCACUUCAGCAUUUAUUCUUCAGUUAUAUCGUCCCCUUAGAUAGCAUCUAUCCCACACCGUGAAGCAAGCAAGGUUCACUAUAAUACGAUCUAAUAGCAGCAACAAAAAAGGUGAUCCUGGAGAUAUUUUAAACUCAACUUCAUCAAUAUCUUCAACGUGCACUUCUGUUGGAACACAAGCGACAGUAGCAGUGAGAAGAGGUGUUAUACUGAUCCCAUUAGGAUUGCAGCCCAGAAUACCACGAACGGAGAGCCCCAAAAAUUGAAGCAACUUCUACAUCCAACUAAAUCACAUCCGGAACCCGAUUUAACGACUUUCUUACCUUGAAGAGGAAAUACCCAAUCUGACUCAACAAUCUGUUAUCAUGUGCUAACCCCACAAACAGCCCACAUUCUACACGGCCUUUAUGAGGUUUCUACCUUUCAUGAAAUACUCAUGCCAUCAUGGCCUCUAUAGCCCAGAAUACCAAAGGGGAAAGGGAAGAAAUAUGGAUACAAAAUCAAAGAGAAAAAAAAAUAAUAAUCCAAGAAAAACAGAACAAGGAAGAUAAAGGUGGGUAAGCAGAUAAGCCAAGUCUCUAUUUCAGCCAUUUAUAUAAGAAAAAAAUCAGAGAAAUCAAGAACACAAUCAUAACAGAGCAAGCUUGAAGGCAAAUUUCGAUUCAACAACGCAAAUAAAGUGGUCCUCAAUGUCUACUCCAAUCAGCAAGAAUAACUUCUCAAAAAAAAACAGCCAAAGAAUCCAGAGUGGAAUGUAAACGGGAAUACCAAAAUAAAAGUAAAUAAAAAGAUCAAAAGAACAAGAAGCGUACCUGGCAGAGGCUUGGCUGCAAUCUCCUUUUCUUUCUGCUCUGCUGUGCUUCUCCGCAAAAAAAUCCUCCAAUGCGUGCUGCUCCAGAAAGAAUCUCCCCCCUUAAAAAAAAGCUCUUUUUCUCCUUCCUCUCUCACGUAUAUAUACGCCUUUCCCUAAAACUAAAUCUGUUUCCAAAAUGGAAAAUUCUCCUCUUUCCUUUCUUCUUCUCUUCCUUUUUUUUUAAAUCUUCCAAUCAAAAGCAAUCUUCCCAAUUUUGAAUUCCCCUCCAAAACCUUCCAAGGAGAGUCCCACCUUCCUUAAACUCCAAUGGUAAGUUUCCUUGCAAAAACAUGAAAUUUUAGAAGUUAAAUAAUUGCAUGAAUAGAUAAAUAAGUAAAUAAAUUAGAAAAUGGUAAAAAUAAUAAAUAAAUAAAUAAGUUAAGGAAAAAUAAUAUAAAGAGGAAAAUAAAAAAAUAAAAAAAAUAAACAAAUUAACAAAAAUGGGCCCUACGAGCCAUGCAAACACGCAAGUCAUACAAGUCACACUAAAAAUGUCCAAAUGGGCCAAGUGUGCCUAAACGGCCUAUGAUGAGACUAAGUGGGCCUAGGGUGGUGCCUAAUGGGCCAAGUGUAUCUAAAAGCUAUCUUAAAAAAACAAGAAAAGCCUAAGUCUAAGUUAGGGCUGCCAAGGGUCACAAUAAGGAAUCAAAUAAUCCCUCAACCAAAGUCUCCGAUGUGACUCAGAAAAAGGUAAGUGGUAUGAGUAGCUAUGGGCCACCAAGGAACUAUUGCGGAGCAUUGAAAACGGAUUUAAAGACAUGAUGUCUAUCUGAGAUAAUAAUAACUUCCUUGUUUCCCACAACUAUCUUCAGUUUUUCCAAGAACCAUAACCAAUCUUCAUAAUUUUCCGAGCUCAUCACUCCAAAGGCUAAGGGGAACAUGGAGUCAUUAGCAUCGUAAGAGGUGGCUGAAAAUAGAGCACCGCCAUAAGGCCCACUCAUAUGGGCCGAAUCAAUUGCAAUGAUUGGUCGACACCCCCUUACAAACCCAUCGAUAGAUAUUGAAUGAGCAACAAAAAGCUUCUCAAAAUGGUUAUCAUUGGAAUAACUCAGCUCAACACUCGAUCCUGGAUUUGUUGCAAGCAUUCUUUCACACAUCCAUGGCAACAAUUUGUAAUAAUUCUUGGUUUGUCCAUAAAUGCGCUCCUUAGCCUUCUCCUUCAUUUGCCAUGCUUGUAGGUAAGUUAACUGGAUGCCAUGUUGCCUUACAAAGUCCUUACAAAUUUGGCGUGGUUGGUAUUCAGGAGUAGAUCGAAUGACAUCAUCAAUGACCAACGAUGCACUAGUGGAUCUCACUAAAGGCUGAGACAAGACAACAUCUUCCAAGCAAUGGUUAUGCACAUUUCGGAAUGUGUGUACUUGAACAAUGUUUGAAUCCCCUAUUGCACGCGCAGUGAUUUUCCAAGGACAAUCUUCAAUUGUGCAUACUACGGUCAUGUGUUUUGGACUAUUCUUUUUGUAAGAAUAUCGAAAUUUUCCAGCCAAAUACAUCAAAUAGAUUGCAUCUCAAAACUCCGACGCAUUUGGGAAGGUAUGUCCACUACCUACAAUUGAAUGUUCGAAUCGACUUGGUUGAAGUUGAACGGUAUUUGUCAUAGCACAUCUUUGGGAAAACCCAACUGACUGAAUUGUGGGCGACUCAUUAGAGAUGUGUAAUGGGGGCUCGCCAAUAGAGGAAACAUGAGCUGAGUUUGAAGCAACAAUGGGGGUUGGGCCACUGCAAAAAACAUAAGGAAAGAAUUUGAUCAUCCAUCAAUCUAAGUGUGAAAAGCGAUUAUACAAAAGGGAACAUUAUUGUGGAAGGACAUUAGGUACCUAGUAGGGCAAAUGAGGUCAUCACCACAUUCAGUACACUGGGAGAUGUAGACAUGACAAAACAUGUCGUUGAAUUUGAACAUAUUGACUAUGUCGCCAUCAUUAUGCAGUGGCAAUAGACAUGAUGGGUCAAACUUGACUGUGAAUUCCAAUUUAAUGGAAUUGGAAUCCAAGUUCAGUACACCACAUACUUUUGAAACGAAUUCAGAUUGUGAGAUAUUCUUGCUAACAACACUGCAAUUGGUCCGACCUCCCUUAUAUUCGACAGACCCAACAGCAGUCUUAACAAGCUCACCACCUUCAUGAAUGUAACAAAACAUCUCCUCUUCCAUUUCCUUAUUGACAUAAAGAUUUGUUAAAAACAAUACAACAAUGAAAGAUUGAGGAAUUAUGCAUGUUGAUUCCAUAUACUUUAAGGUUCAAACAUGCUAAUUGGCUGAUGCACACAAUUAAGGUUCAAACAUGCUAAUUGGCCGAUGCACACAAGUAGUAUACAAGUCUAACUACGGUAGUACCUAAGGAUAUCUAACCUAGUACUUAAAGAUUACUAAGGUUAGACCUAAGGUUAAUUAAGAUAGUACCUAUGGUACAGUCUCAAGUAAAGGUACGGGGAACCAAAUGAGCAGAGUAGUCAACAUUCAUCUUUUACAUGCUUACUGCUAUCAUUUUAUCAUGUCUCAAAUCAAAUUCAUAAAACAAUAACAAUAACAACAUACAUUCAAUUCUAUCAUGCAAAGACAAAGGACAAAAUAAUAACAACAUACACACAAUGAAAUCGGUAUUCAAAUUUAGUAAAGCAAUAACAAUGACAAACGACCAAGCAAAUAAUCUGUUUAGGGUUUAGUAGUAACUCUCAUAUAUACCAUUAAAAUUGAAAGAAAAUUUCCAUCGACUAGUAGUAAUACAAAUGAACCAAUUUCCCUAAAAAUCUAAUGACAACAGAAUUCUUGGAAAGCAAAAAAAAUAUUUAAAAAUAAAUAAUAAUAAUAAUAAUAAUAAUAAUAAUAAUAAUAAUAAUAAUUUAUUUUUUCUAAAUACGAACAUAUCUUUAACCAAAAAUAAUUUAUCCUAUAUUUCAUUCUACAGAAAAUGAAGUAAAUAUAAGAAACCCUAAAAUAAAACACUUCAAACCCUAAGAUAUCCACACCAUCCAAACAAACCCGUAAAUGAAAACUCACCUGUGAUUGAUUACUCGGAAAACACGCACAAGAGGGAAAAUUCCAGUUUCGUUUUGAGAAACCUGAACGGAAUUCCAACUUCGAUGAUGCGAAAACAAGAUAUGUCUCCCGUUUGGUUUACUUCAACGUAUUGGGAAGAUGGGUAUCAGUUUCAGCUACUCCAGACAUUUAGAGACAAACACGUUCGACUAAUCGGGAUGUUAAGAGAAAAACAGAGAAGUUUGAGAUUCGGGGAAGAUGUGUAUCAGUUGGGUUUGUUGGACGUGAAGGUUUUGGCUGAUUCAGAUUUGAAAUAACCUUCUGAAAUGGCAAGUUUUUGAGAUUCUGGCUUAGGGAAAAUCUUAGAUUUGGUUGUUGUCAAACUAAAAAGCAGAUUUAGGGCUACUGAGAGCAAAGUUAGAUGUCGUUUGACUUAAGGUUUUUUUUUACUAAAAUGAGAGAAAGAGAGAAAGGGACACCAAAAGUCGGGUCGGGUGGUUUUUUUAAGAAAUUAUCAAUUUUCACAAUUUUUUUUUAAGUAUGACAUGGAGGCUAUUUGGCUGCUGAUGCAUAAGACAUUGAGGGCAUUUUUGGAAGAUAAAAUUGACUCAGCACAGAGUGCACAAAUCUCAUAUUAUUUUGCCCAUUAAUGACUGCUUUCCAUAUUUGAAAAACUUGAGGUUUGAAUAUCAUAUUUUUUUUAAAUAAGGGCCCUAAAACACAACUUUCCCAUAAAUAUAUGUAUUCUGAUCCUCUAUGUUUGCUCCAUGGGGAAUUCAUAUGCAUUUUCCUUUUCUCUUCUCAGAUUCUCAACUAGAGUCAUCAGUGUCGGAGCUUCUUCCACUCAAAGUCAAGGACCUUCCAGUGAUCAACACUCGGAACCCAGAAGAUUUUUAUCAAUUAUUUGUUAGCGCGAUCAAAGAAACCAAGGCUUCCCCCGGGCUAAUCUGGAACUCCUUCGAAGAUCUUGAAGAAUCUGCACUUGUCAGACUUCACCAAGAUUAUCUUAUCUCAUUGUUCCCAGUAGGCCCAUUUCAGAAAUACUUCCCAACCUCUUCAAGUAGUUUACUAGCACAUGACCACAGUUCCAUUACCUGGCUAGACACACAAACACCUAAAUCUGUGAUCUAUGUGAGCUUUGGGAGUAUUGCGACAAUGGAUGAGAAUGAAUUUCUGGAGAUGGCUUGGGGGCUAGCCAACAGCAAUCAGCCCUUCUUGUGGGUGGUUCGACCAGGGUUAAUCCGUAGUUAUGAAUGGCUUGAAUCACUGCCAAACGGGUUCCUUGAGAUGAUAGGUGGAAGGGGACAUAUUGUGAAAUGGGCUCCUCAACAAGAAGUUCUUGCUCAUCCCGCCACGGGAGGGUUUUGGACUCAUAAUGGAUGGAAUUCCACGUUGGAGAGUAUUUGUGAAGGGGUUCCAAUGAUUUGUCUGCCUUAUUCUGGGGACCAAAGGGUGAACGCGAGGUAUGUGAGCCAAGUUUGGGGAGUUGGGUUGCAAUUAGAGAGUGGGUUGGAGAGAGGGGAGAUAGAGAGAACAAUCAGAAGACUUAUGGUGGAGGAAGAAGGGCAGGAAAUUAGACGUAGAAGCAUUGAGUUGAAGGAGAAGGCAGACUUGUGUCUAAAGCAAGGUGGUUCUUCACACCAAUCCCUCGAGAGCUUGAUUAGUUACCUCUCAUCUUUCAAGGGACUCCUUCAUAAUUAAGUUCUAGAUGGUCUUCUGUUAUUGUUAGGAAUUCUCCUGAGCGAGGUUUCCAAAUAGGCUGGUUCUGUUUCUCACAAAAGAUCCGUUGUCUUAAUUACUUCUUUAAGAUUGUGCUUAAAUAUUAUUUCAUACUAUUACCACAUUGAUGAUCACUAUACUCCUACGUAAAAAAAAAAAUUAGAGGUGAUUUCUAGCAAUUGUCCAAUUAAUUACCCUCAGUUUCUAGUACCACUAUUUUAUAAUAACUGGAUACAAAUAUGUCAGAUUGAUGACUGCUUCUUUAGUUAUCCUUAAAUGCAUAAGAGCUUGUUUGAUAGUGAUUUUAUGAAAUUUUUUUAAUAUUUUUAAUAUUUGAAAUUUUUUAUUAUUUAAGUAUUAAAAAUGCUAGAAACGCUUUAUAAAAUCACUCCCAAACGGGCUCUAAGUCAAAAUUGUUGUUGCGGUUGUUGGUUCCAUUUUUCCUUUUUUAAAUUAUAUUGUCAAGUGAAGGAAGCACACUAAAAUACUUGGAAAACCAUGUUUGGCCUCCUUCAUUCAUUGGAUUGUGUCUGUUCAUUCACAUGGGUUUAGAUCCAAGUUGUACAAAAAUUGGUUCAGUUGGAUUUGCAGUUUUCCACCUAACUUUCAAGAUAUUGAGUGAGAGAUAACACCAAAACUGAGCAGACAAUGCUCAGCUAAGCACCAUGGAGUGAUUAUUUGAACUAAUAUGUACUUACCACUUUCCUAUGAAUCUUGUCUUUCACAAUUUAACUUUAGAUGAACCCUAGGCAGCUGAAAGGAACUUCUAAUUCGAUUACUGGUGAAGCAAUAAAGUUGGAAGAAACAUACAAAUAAUUAUAAUCCAUAAAUACUCAUAUUUAACAAAAUAAAGACUCUUAAUAAUAAAACAUGGAAACCUUCUCGUACUCUAAUAUUUGAAUAUAGAAACUAAAUUAAUCAUUCAAAUAAAAAUGUUCUCUUUGAUUUUUAAAAACUAAAUCUAGUUCUAAUUUUAGAAACUUCCUAAAUCAAGUUUAACUUUCUAUCUUGCCCUGUAAACUUGAUUUGUAACUCCAAGCACCAAGCACCAUUCUUAACCAUUUAUAAUCUUCAAAUUUGAAACAUUUUGUAAAAAUAUCCACAAUUUGAUUAUGAGAAUUUGCAAAUUUUAAUUACACUUUCUUUUUCAUGAUGGACUCCUUGACAAAAUGAAAUUUUGUAUCAAUGUGAUUGCUUUGAUCAUGAAAAAUCAAUGACUUCUUACCCUCUUGUUACUUGUAACUCUUUGGUAUCAAAUUUGCUUUGCAUCUCCCUAUUUUUCCUUUUACGUUCUUCUUUGUUUCCAAUACUUAUUUUAAUUUUUUUUUUCCUUUUAGAAGGGAUUUUAGUUUCCAUGUGUCAUUCUUUCUCGUUGCUUUUUAUUUCCAUAACAUUUUGUCAUGUCUUAUCUUAAAUUACUACUUUAUAAUCUAUUGGUUCAUAAUUUGUAGAAAGAUAAAAGAGAAUUAGAUUAUUUUGAAUAUUAUAUGUUACCUUAUUAAUAUUUUCUUACUAUUUAACAUACUUUGAGCGAUGUCAAGAGUAGUUUCAUUUUUUUUUCUCUCUAUUAUACUAUUUAUUGUGGAGGAUAUGAAAUCGUUAAAGUCGACAAAUUUUAUAAGCUUUACAAUAUUUUUCAAAUUGGACCUUAUAUGUCUACAUGAAUGAAUUUAAUUUAGAGGCUUUUUUACUCUUGUAAUUAUUUCCUUUGGAAAAUUUUUUUGAGCAUGUUUUUCAAGUAAGGGUCCUUUACAUAAUUGAUCUAUAAAAAGUAAUUCUUUCACCAGUUUCUUCUUUAUUAGCAACUUCAAUAUUCUAAAACUAAGAUGUCUAAAUCUUAAGUGUCAAAUCCAAGAGGAAUAAUGGACAUAAGAUUUUAAACAUUUUACAACAACAAUUUCAAUGUACAACAAAAAACAUUCAAUUUCUUGUUAUGAGCAUAUUAACAAUUAAAUUGGCAUAUUAUUGACCUCGUAUUGAGAGACUUUGAAUUUCAUAUGAAUAUCAUAACACUUUUCUACGAGUUGACCCAAACUUAAUAUAUUAUUUUUCAUGUUGAACACAUAAUAGAUGUUCAAAAUAAAUUAAUGUCUUUCAUUUUUCAAACAAAUUCAGAUUUUACCUUUGCCUUUUCAUCAAAACUCAUCCAAAUAUGACAACCAUUUUUGGAUUCCUCAAGUGCUCCAAAAAGAUACUUUUAAAAUCUACACAUGAUUGUUUAUUUCAAUGUCAAGAUACCAAGUGUUUUUUUCCUUACUUUAAUUUCUCACUUAUAUACCAACAAUAAAGUAGGUUGUUCUUGAUUUUGCUUUUCAUAAUAUAUAUAUAGACACAUACAUACAUGAUUAUAACAUUCAAUUUGAGAUUUAUUUAUCAUACACGAUUAUAACUUAUAUAUUGUGUCAUCUUCCACAUCCUCAUGAAUAAUAUGAGUCUUAACUUGUUCCUUCAUUGUUUGAUGAAUUCAAAUCACUUCUUCUUCUAUAAUCUUGACCAUAACCAUGUAUACGACUAUGCCCAUGAUUAUUUUGACUUCUUUCAUUAUCAAAAUUUUCUUCAUUCUCCUUUAAUAUAAGUUUAAUUUGUUUAUAGAAUUUGCUCUAAUUUUUGUUAGUUCUCAUUUUUAAUCUUUUCAUGAACUUGCAAUGACAACAUAAGUUACUCAAUGGCCAUGAAAUCUAAAUCUUUAGAUUCUUCAAUGGCCACAACAACAUAAUCGAAUUUUGAAUAUGUAUAUGAAUAUUGAAGUUUUUUUUUCAAUAACAUGAAUGUCAUUUAAACUUUCAUUGUGCCUUUUUAAUAGAAGAUUGUUUCAUUCUUUUACAUUCAAACUUUGAAAUUUCAUUUUUAUAUGCUUUGUAAUAUCUCACAAGCUUCUUUUAGGGUGGUUGUGUUUGAAAUCUUCUCAAAAGUACUUAUUGGAGCCAAAAUAUGUGCUCUAAUGGCACAUAUUCGAUAUGAUUUGUGCACCAAAGGACAUUCAAAUCACCCAACUUGACCUAAAUCAAUGCUAAGGCCCUAGCCAUGAGUUUAAUCUAUACUUUGGAGAUUUAUCUCAGGUUCAAGGGAAGAAAAUUGUGCAAAUUGAAUGACUUUAGAUUUUGAAAGAUCAAGAAAGGGCUAAAUGAGGAAAUAAGUGAGUCAAGAUUCAUUGAAUGUAAGGAAAGGCAAAACAAGGAUAUCAUGAGGUUGGAGGAUGAUAAAUGACCAUUAUGGAGUAAUAAAGAAGGCAAGAAAGCAUGGAAAAUGAGGCAUGAAGCAAGAUUUAGCUGCAUGGAAAUUUAGAACUCAAAAAUCUGAUGGCAUUAUAUACUCUGAUUUUGAGGACAAAUUUGGAGCACUUUAUGGAGUCCAUUAUAUACAUACUAUAUAUAUUGUUUCGAAGCUCGGGAAGUCAGGAGUCCAACGCUUCAAACGGUUUGGAAAUCGGAGCUGAAAUGAAGAAGUUAUGGCCAUUUGAAGACAACUGCACCAAGCUGGAGGGUCAUUUCGAAAUGAUUUCGAAAUUCAACUUAUGAAUUCGAAAUCCACUUCGAAAUGACACCAAUUUCGAAUUCACCCACUGCCACUUUGAUGUUCCGCUUCCUCUACCUCGGGAAUUGCAUCUAAAGCACUCCAUCCGCCUUAGGUGGACCCCACACGACUAGAAAUCACCAUUUUAUUAUUUUUUAAUCAUUUUUAGGAAAUUAUUUUGUAAUAAGUGGCCAAUGAGAGUGUGUCACAUGUUAAGUAAUUGAGGAUAUUAUAUAAACUCUCUCAAUUCUAGGUUUUAGGAAUCUUGGAUUUUUUUUUCUGGAGAGUUUGAUAUUGAAGGUGGAAGAAGACGAGAAUUUUGGUUUGUUUUCUUUUUCUUCUAUAUUGAAUAUAUUGUUUUUAGUUUCUUUUGAUUCAAAUUAUGGAUUUUUACCCUAUUAUGGAUUGUGAAUGUGACAUCACCCCCAUGAGAGGCUAAGAGCCAACUUGGGGCUUGAAGCAUGAAAACCUAAGGGUUAGGAAACCUAUAGGGACAAUGGGUAAAUUAUUAUAACAAUGAGAUUAAUUAUUGGUUGAGUGACAAUUUAUCAAUUUUUUUAUACUAUCCUUGUGAGUUCGUUUAGGGAAUGAUACGGUAGGUUAUUUCUUGAUACUAGUGAUUCUUGGUAAUUCUUGAUCAUUAGUUAUCCUCAUCUUACCUACCGUUAUUUGCCCCUAAACAAAGCUAUAAGGAGUAGAAAUGGUUAAAAAUCCAAAUCUUAAAUUGAUAAUCAAUCUCAUUCAUUUGAUGGUUUUAGGAAUCUGUUUUAAAAAGGAAAAAUUAGGUUUCAGAUGCAAUUUUGAGUUAUAGAACUCAACUUGAUCGCGAGUGGCCAAGGAUCCCAAAACCCUAAGAUCAUAUUACUUAAAAUACCCUUGUUUUCUCUAAUUUCUAUACCCUAGGUUGGAUUGUGGAAAACCCCAAACUUGAAUCAAUUGAAUUUAAAAUCAAUAUUCAUUUUUUUUCUUAUUAAUUUAACUUCUUUUACUUAGUUUCACAUUAUUCACAUAUUGUUUUUCACUUAAGGAUUUAAACAAAAACAAUUCAUUUAUUCUAGUAUUGAUAAUUUUCAUAAGUCAGUCCUUGAGAACGAUACCCGGAAUACUACAAAAGUCGUAGUGACUCUUUCUCUAGUUUUUCUUGACCAGAGUUACUACGUAAAAAAGCUAAGUAUUUUGGUACAAUAGAGAAAUUUCGGUCAAGUACAUUCAUCCGUUAUUUAAUAGAUGGUGGGAAAAGGUUUCUUGUCUUUCCUUAUGUCUUUUAAAAAAACUUUUUGAUUUAGGAAUAAAGUUGUUUUGACUCUUAUAACCUUUUUGUUACAUGUGUAAAAUUCCCACACAAGUUUUCGCGUCUAUGUAGCGAUUUAAAGCUCUCGAAGCUAGCAACUUUUCCCUACAAUAUGACAACAACAUACAAGACCCACACGAGGUUUACAAGGCACCAACCUCAACUUGUAUUUUAUUAACUUACUAAAUAAGAAUACAAGACUUUAGCCAGACUCCCACAAUAACUUCAGUGAGUUGAGGUUUCUCUCAUGAUCUUCCUUUUUAGAUCUCUGUUACGAGGCUCUUUGUAGUCUUUACUUAAAGAGUGGCUUUACCCACUCUUUGUUAGACUAAGAUUACACAUCUUAGUUCUACUGGGACUCUUACUGAUAAGUUGUGGCACUAACCACUCCUACAAGGGCUCAAAGUCCUAGUUUUACUUAGACUACAAUUAUAAUAGGCAUUAAGACUCCUACUCAUGCUUAAUUUGUAAUCCCACUUUGAGUCCAACUCUUUGUGCUACUACCACAUACAUCUAUAUAUAUGGUUCAAGUAUACGCCAGAACCUUUUUUGGUAUACACAUCUAGAUUGCGUUCGUAUCGAGGCAACAUGCUCUUGCAUCCGUCUUGUUGUUGCUACGACUCCAUAUCUUGUCUAAGCUCUAUUCUUAGUGCAACAACAUGUCAUGAUAUUGUGCUCGUGACUCUCCAUGCACAAGGUAUUACGCCCUUAUGUAUUGCAUCUGAGUUGGCACUGCUACUUCGUAUUGAUAUGCCUAUCUAUGUCUUUCUUAGUGUUGCACUUGCCAUGACAUUUCAUCCAUGGCUCACCAAGUCAUCUUCCUUUACAAGGCGUUGUGUCCUUGUACCACUUUGUUGUUGUCAUAGGUUACUCAUGAAGCUAGGGUACUGCCCUAUGAGACUUUAGUGUUGCAUGGUCCAUAUCAAGGGGCUAACAAACCACCUUCACCUGAUGUAGUUGACGUUCUCAUCGACAUGGACUAUAGUUAGGCCUAUACUGCCUUUUUAAACUGCCAUAAUGUCAUAUCUCAUUCCCAACUUGCUGAUGAUUUAGGAUUGACUUUCCAUUGAACUAGAUAAUCAACAUUUCAAUUUUUCUUGCUCAUUCCCAUAAUUCGAUGAUUCAAUAUUUUCUCUACCUCAUGAUGAAACUAUUUUUUGAUCAUAGGUGGAGCUCAUCUCACCUAUAUUUUUCUUGGGUCUAGGUCCUCAUGAUAAGGUUUUAAAAAGCUUACAUGGAUUAUGAGGUGUAUCUUUAACCUGUCAGGUAGCUUUAAUUUGUAAGCUACAUAUCCUACCUUUUGCAUCACCUCAAAAAGUUUGUCAUAUUUGGGAACUAAUCCCUUUGCACAAUCUUGCUACUAACAUUUUUCCAUAUCUAAGGGGUUAAUAUGAAAUUCCAAGGGUCUUUGGCCUUUGCGUUUGCAUACUUUUUCAUCAUUCUUGCGACUUUCUCUAAGCUUUCACAAGCUUCAGUGAGCAUCUCUUACCUAGACCUUACAAAUUUGUAUUUUGUAGGACAACUACCACAAGACUUUGGUUUAGCCACAUCCAAGGGCAUAAUUGGCUAUUGCUCUGUGGCCAACUCGAAAUGACUCAAUCAUGUUGUCGAACUCUUCUACAAGUUAUAGGAUAACUGAGUUAUCUUCAUUAUAUCAACCCAGUUCUUUUAUGUUGUAGAAAGAUAGUGUUUGGGGUACUCCUCAAGUAAAAUGUUGAUAUGCUUUGUUUGCUGUCUGUCUGCGGAUAAUUUGUUGUUGAAAACUUCAACUCUAAAUCGAGGAGUUUGAAUAUUUUGGUCUAAAACUAGCUAGUGAAUCAGACAUCACGAUCACUUACUAUGUCUUUAAGCAACCUGAAGUACUUGACCACAUGGUUGAAAAAUAGCCUAGUUGUCUCUUUUGCGAGACAUGCAUGUGGUGUAGGCAUGAGGACAACAUAUUUAGAGAAUCUAUCGAUUUAUUAUCAUAAAAAUAUAUUUGAAUUCCCCCACAUUUGGAAAGCCACCAAUGAAGUCUAUUGAUAUGCUCUCCUAAGGUCUCUCUAGGAUAGGGAAAUGUUGCAACAUUAACCCCACUACUUUCUUCUUCUAUGUUUUGCCUAAGCGACAUGCUAAAUAAGAACGGGCAUAUGCUUGGACAUCCUCUCACAUUUCCGACAAGUAAUAUGACUUGGACAAUAGUGUUGGUGUCCUUUCUUUAAUAAGGUGACCUGUCCACUUGGCCUCAUGGGUCUUUCUUAACAGCUUCUUGCCUAAGCACUUCAUAGUACAUAUAGUUUGCCUCAUUUAGCCACUAGGAGGUCAUCUUCUAGUUAAUAUUUUCUUGUUGCCCCAUCUCUGACUUGUUAUUUCAUUUUCUCAUAAGUAGAAUCAAGCUUAGUAGCCUACUUGAUGCUUUCAUUAAAAUCUAACAUCACAUGUGAUAGAGUAGUUACAUACUCUGUCACCAUCUUCUGGCUCAAGGCGUCUACAACUACAUUAUGUCUUCUUGGUUGAUGCAACCAAUCAAACUUGAAGUUGGCCAGGAAUUCUUGCCAUCUAGCUUGCUUGAGGCUCAACUUUUUCUAAGUCUUGAAGAAGGUAUUAGUCGCACUGUUUGUGACUAUAGUAAAUAUACUCCCAAAUAGAUAAUGUUUCCACUGCUGCAAGCAAUGGAUAAUUACUAUCAUCUCUUUCGCAUGAGUGAAGUAUCUUUGUUUUGCCUCAUUGAACUUCUGACUCUCAAAGGUUAUUGGGUGUCUUUCUUACACUAGGACCUUUCCUAAGUAAUUGGCUGAUACAUCUAUCCGAACCUUAAAAAACAAAUCCAAAUUCAGUAGAUGUAGCAUCGACUCAGUUGAAAUAACCAACUUUCAACUUUUCAAAAUCUUUAUGGCAUACCAAGCUCCAAUCCUAGAGGAUAUCUUUCUUUAGAAGGUUAGUUAGGGGAGCUACUAUCUUGGAAUAACCUUUUAUGUUCAAUAGUAGUUUGCCAGUUCUAAGAAGGAUUUUAAUUUUGUCAUCUUACUUAGAGCAUGCCAAUCUCUGAUGACUUGGACCUUUGCUUUAUCCAUCUUAAUCAAACCUUCACUUAUCUUGUACCUUAGGAAGGUAAUAUGUUUUUGUGCAAACUCGCAUUUCUCCUUUUUCACAUAGAGUUUGUGUUCUCUUAAUCUUUAGAAUAGUAGUUUCAGGUGAUGCAUUUGGUUUUUUUAUUCUCUCUAAGUGCAAGUUCCCACAUAAGUUUUCGCGUCUAUGUGAUGCUUAGAAGCUCUCUAAGCUAGUUUACACCUUUCCCUAUGAGAUGGUAACAACACACAAGGCACACAUGAGGUUUAUAGGGCACCAAUCUUAACUUGUAUUUUAUUAGCUUACUAAAUAAGAAUACAAGACUUUAGCAGCUUCCCUCAUGAUCUCCAUCUCUAGAUCUUUAUUAGGAGGCUCUUUGUCCUCAUUUUUUAUAGAGUGGCGCCACACACUCCUUGUUAAACUAGGAUUACACAUCCUAGUUCUAUUGAGACUCUUAUUGAUAGGUUGUGACAUCAACCAAUCCUAUUACGACUCAAAGUCCUAGUCCUACUUAUACUACAAUUACAAUAGGCAUUAACACUCCUACUCAUGCUUGACUUGCAAUCCCACUUCAAGUCCAACUCGUUGUAUUGCUACCGCAUGCAUCUAUAUAUAUGGCUCAUGUGUAUGUCAAACCCUCUUUUGGCCUGCACAUUCAAAUUGCAUUCAUGUCGUGACAACAUGCUUUUGCAUCCAUAUUAUUGUUGUUGCGACUUUAUGCCUUGCCCAAGCUUUUUUCUUGAUGCAGCAACAUGUCAUGACAUUGUAUCCAUGAUUCCUCACGCACAAGGCAUUGUGCCUUUGUGUAUUGCAUUUAAGUCGACAUGCUCCACAUUGAUGCCUCAUCCGAGUCUCUCUUGGUGCUCCACUUGGCAUGAUAUUUCACUUAUGGCUCACCAAAUUGUCUCAUUGCAAAAGGCAUUGUGCCCUUAUUAUAUAUGCCACCUUGUUGAUGUCAUAGGUUACUCAUGAGGCUAAGGUGCUAUCCCAUGAGACAUUAGUGCCACAUGGUCUAUGUCAAGGGGUUAACACUUUCUAAACAAGACAUUUAUCCUUAUACUCAAAUUAUCGUAAUUAUUUUUAUUGAGUUUGAGGAGUUCAAAUGAAUACCUCCUAUUUUUCAUUUUUUUUUUGUAAUAAUACAGAAGAAUUUAAAAUUUAUUGUUUUUCAUUUUCUUAUUAAUAGAUUAUAUAAUUUUUUAUUUUUAAAUACUCAUAUUUAAUAAAAUAUAAACUCAUAAUAAUAAAAAUAUAGGAAUUCCCAACAAUUAAAUAUAAUAACUUUUUACAAGUCAAUUACUUAUAUAUAAAAACUAAAUCCAACCGUUUAAAAUAAAGUACUUUCUUUUAACUUUUAGAAGUUAAAUCUAAUUCUAGUUUUCAAAAAUUCUCAAUCAAGUUUACUUUCCAAUAAUUACUUAAAUUAAAUGCCACAUAAAAACCAGAUAAAAGACUUUCACAAAUCUAAACCCGGAGAAAUGUCAAAAGAGAGGUAGAAAACUAUCCCAAGCACCCCAAGCAAGAAAAAUACGGGCUAUUUUAUUUUCUCACCAUGUUGAAAAAUUUUAAAAUUCCAACAGGCAUCAAAGAAUUGCCGUCCACUUAGCUAUAAUAUACAUAGAUGAAGACAAGAAAGCCACUUGCGCUUUUCGGAAUAUAUCGAUUAUUUCCUUGCAAAUACUGCAUAAAUUCAUGGUCUAUUCUG